UUCAAUGGGGGUGCCGGAUGGACCUGAAUUAAGGGAGACCAAACCGUUGUGAUUACACUUAGUAAUGCCCAUCCGACGAGGGUGACAAUGAAUAGAAAUCCGAUUUGAGGGAGAAGAUGACAGACCAGUUGAGCUGUGUUGAGGUUGGUUGGAUGCAUACGCAUGAAGAAUGUUAUUAGUAGAUAGAAAGGAACAGAAGAAGAUCAGGAAGAGAAAGAUUCUGCCCUGAGCCAUUGCCAUUUCUCCGGUAAGUUCAGUAUGAUUUCUCACCUAGUAUUGCCGGCUAUAUAUGGUAAAUUAGGAUUAUUUUGAUGCAAAUAAGUCAACAGAAUAGGCUAUCUCUCUGGUCCAAGUUGAUUAAGCCGAUUGAGACACGACCAGAAAGUCUAUAACCCAAUCUGACUGGCAUUACAUCUUUCGUUUUAGUCAAGAUAGAUCAUUAACCUUCGAACCAGUUAAACGAAAAUGAAAUGUUUUGACAAUACAUUGUAGCGGCGUAUUGAAAAAAUCGUAGAGGGUUCAGGGUUUGGAUCCUCUUACGCAUUGUGUACGUAGUCUACAGUAUAAUUCCCAUAUUAUUACUUCUGAUUUGUAUGUAGAAGAAGACUGCAGAAGAAGUUUGAGACAGACAACUUUGCCAACCUUUACAUAUCUAUAUUACCGGCAGCAAACAACUUUAACAACGGGAAAUAUACUGCAUAUGCAUGACCUUUCAGUCUAGCUUCCAUUAAGCCUGUUCUUCAUCCUUUUGAUCCCCACAUGCAGCUUUCAUCACAUAGAGGCUGUCAUAUGCAUUAUUGAGAAAUUGGAAAUAAGCAUAUCUCCAGGUCUUGAUAAAAAUCAAAGAACCACAUACUGACCAAAAUCCUACGAAAAACCCAAGCACAACUGGAAAUAUAAACCAUGGGACCUGAUCCUGUUGUUAUCAUCUCCAUCAAGGUCAUCAUUUGGGAGUGCUGGUUGGCAUUCAUAUGGAAGUGGAAGACAACAGAGGUUGGGAUUCCCCUCAAAUGCAGAUGCACCGAAGCUUUGCAACUGAGUGCCUGUUGGUAUUUGUCCUUCCACAUUAUUGUAUGAGACAUUAAAUACUGCCAAGAAAUUAAGGCUUGUUAAUGAUGCAGGCAUAUUUCCAGAGAAAUGAUUUACGGAGAGAUCCAAUGUUGCCAAGUCUUUGAGGUUGGAUGUUUGGUCUGGAAUCUUGCCUGAGAAGAAAUUGUUUGCAAGGUUCAACACACGGAGAAGCUUCGAUUGGCCAAUCUCAUUCGGUAUAUAUCCAGUCAUGUUAUUGUUCAUUAGUACUAAGGCCACUGGAAAUAACAACAAAGAAUUGUAUUGUUGAGCUCGCUUGCCAUCAGCAGUGAAGUAGAUAGGCAAUUCGAGAUCAUCACUGGACAAGUUGUUGUUUUGAGAUACCAACAUUGGCACUUUGGCAGGCUGCAAAGUUCCUUUGGAAAUUCCCCAGAAAUGAGGUUGGCUCCCAAGUCUAUGUGUAAGAGCCUAGGAAGAGUCCCAAGCUGACUAGGAAUUUGUCCUUUGAAUUUAUUUGUAUUCAGAUUCAAAACCUCUAGUUUCUUGAGCUUAGAUAACCAUACAGGUAUUUGACCGAUGAGCUCGUUCUGACUCAAAUCCAAAAAUCCAAGAUUUUUGAAUCCAUCAAAAUCAGAUAUGCCAAGAUUAGCUGGAACUGCCCCCACUUGGAAACUAGAUGCCAAGGAUAAGAACACUAGACUUUCGCAACGCAUGAGUAUCUUGAUUGCCCCUGUGAGAUUUGUCAAUCUAUUGAAAGAAAGCGAGAGAUAGGACAAGGAUUUCAAUGACUGAAUUCAUUAAAAUGGAGAUCAAGGAUUGCAAGGUUUGUGAGGUUGAAAAUGCCAUCACUAAGGACUCCGUAAAGUGAAUUGCGAGGUAAUGAUAUUUCUACAAGAGUGAUUACAUUAUACAUAUCUUCCGGAAUCCUACCGUCCGUCUUGACCUUUAGUUGUUUUGGACUUUGGUUACUCUUCUACCAUGUUUAUGGUUUGUUAAUGCUUUUUGCAUUUUUUAUUAUUUUUAAGGGGCGUUGGUCUCAAGUCCUCCCCUUUUUGUUGUUUUACCUCUCUUUAAUUAAAUAAAAUUUCUUGUUUUGCCCAAAAAAAAUAAAUACAUAUCUUCUGGAAGUAUUCCCAAAAGGUUGUUAUACCCAGCACGAAACACCUUGAGCUUGGAACACUCCCCUAGUCCAGGAGAUAUACUGCCGUUGAAGUUAUUGGAAGAAAAAUCUGACAUUCUGAUCAAUGGAGAAGAAGUGAAACAAAUGGGAGAUGGUAUGGAUCCUUUGAACUUAUUAUUGCUGACAUUGAAACUUGUCAGAAGAAUGAAGAUGGAAUGUCAGCAUUGAAAGAAUUAAUUGCUGAACAAAUAAUCCAGCAUCCGGAUACUCCCGGAUAGUGGAGAAAUUGGUAGUUCUCCAGAGAGAAUGUUAUAGCUCAAAUCAAGAUCAGAUGGCGGUUGGUGGUUGAGGACUUGAGAUCGUCGAUCAUCUUAGUGUGACAGUGGUCAGAUACAAGGCUAAUGAACAGUCGUGGAAGGAUGCACGGCUAGCUUGAACAAUAUUUCUGUCUCACUGAUCUUUCAACUCAAACUAAAAAUUGAAGGAGAGCCUUCCUUUUUUGAUGUGUAGAAAACAAGGAAGGAGCUAAGCAUUACUGUGUUGGUAUUGAUAUGGAUGCUUUUGGUUUCAUUAUUGCCUUAUUGGUGGCUUUGGAGAAGGAACUGACAUAGACAUGGUGAUGAAAAGACCUUGAAUCAUGAAGAGUUCAACGAAAAGAAAUGUUUGCUUUCUCCACUAGCAGUAGCAGUAGAAUUUCAUCAGCAGAAUAGAAAGGGCGGCGGAAGGAGGUGGUGACGACGGCAGGAGAUGGAGGGGGAGAAGAGCGAGCUCAGAGAAGGUAGUCUCAGAGAUACAGCCAUUUUUGGUGGGCCACACAGCCCGUUAAGGACCGCACCACUUGGACCGUCUAGCCCCACGUCACAUCUGCCUAGCCCGCAGGAAUUAUAAUCAGGCCCAACUUGUUUUAGACCCAACCCCCUCUUUUGUCUUUUUAAAUGGUGGACCCCUAAAGCCCGUUAAGGCCCGCUCAGGGCUGACCGCCUAGCCAUAGCACUUUUUUCUAGCCCGCAUGAAAUUAUUUUUCUUUUAUAUUUUCUUUUUACCUCUUAAAUUCUGGAAUUGGAAUUCCGCAGAGACGAAACAGAUGCAAAACAGAAUGAAACCGAAAGACAACGAUAAGAAGAAGAAUAAGAAGAAGAGAGAUCAUGAGAUUGAUGAUGAUUCUGAUUCUGUUUCUGGUGGUGAUGCGCAAGCGGUUGUGCAAGACUUGCUGAAGGAGUUUCCGAAUAUCGGGUGCGAUUUGAAGCAGCUUUUGCAAUUGAUCGAUGGCGGCAAAGCGGUCGACAUAAACGGAAUAGGUCAGAAGUGUCUGAUCAAGCCUCUCAGAGCUCUGUUCCUUUGCUUGGUUCUUAAGGAACUAGAUCACGGAUCUUUUGUUGCCUCCACAUGUUCCUCCAACUUUGGAGGUUAUUGGGUCCUUGAUCACGCCUUGUUUAGAUUUAGAUGAUGAAGAUGAUGAUCAUGGUCCUCCUCCUCCUUAUAGAAGGCCAAUUGGUCCGGAGAUGCCGACGCCAGAGCUACUUGCUGCUGCAGCCAAAUUGAGAGAGGCAGAGGCCGAGUUGAGGGAAGCUGAGUUGGAAGAAAAAGAUGAUGGUGUUUUAAUAGGGCCUGCACCGCAUGUUGCGGCUGCUGAAGUUGAAUCAGCUAACCAGGGUGAUCGUUUCGAAGAGGUGACAAGGAUCAUGGAAGCAGAGGAUGAUAGCAUGUAUGAUAUAUUGGGAGCAAACCACAAUGUGUCUGCUGAUAACAUCAAGAAAAGGUACCGGAAGUUGUCGCUUUUGGUGCACCCUGAUAAAUGCUCUCACCCUCAAGCUAGCCAAGCAUUUGUAAAGCUGAACAAGGCGUUUAAGGAGUUACAGGAUCCGCAGAAGCGGAGAGCGCUGGAUGAGAAGAUUGAGGUUAAGGAGAAGCAGGAAAGAUUCAAUGUGGAGUUGACGGCAAUGCGGGAAGCUGCAAUGUGAGCAAUGUGGAGAAAGAUGCAGGGGAUUUACAAGGAGGGUGAUGAGAAGCUACUGGCAGGUGAUGUGAGUGUUGUUAAAUCGGCACGAAAGAGAGAUGAGUGGAUGACAGAGCUUCCACCGGAGAGGAAACAUGGUACGAGUACAAUGCAAUCGACAAUAUUUAGCAGGAGUGCUAAACAAGGGCGUGGGGACACUAGCAGUUGGACUGAUGCUCCUGAGAGAGCUCGAAAAGCUAAGAUGGAUUACUUACAAGCGUGUAAUGAGUUUGCAUCACUUGCUUCGAAUGAGGAGGAGAGGAAGAGGAGUUUAGAUGCAGAGUUAAUGGACAGAUACAAUAAAGAGAAACGAUCGAAGUCAUUGUUACAAAAGCACAAAGAGGAGAUUAGAGCGAGCCGUUUGAAGAGAAAGUACUCCAAGCAACAGGUAGAGGUCCAGUAUUGUGAGGUUAGUCAGGUUGAUAAUUUUAUCAUUAAUGGCUCCAGAUAACGAAUUUCGAGCUAAUGAAAUUUCUUCAAGUGCAGAAGCAUUGUAGAUAUCGUCUGGAAGUAAUCCUGACUCCUGAGAGGUAAUUAUAACCGGCACGAAAGACCUGCAGUUCGGAACAUUUCCCGACUCCACGAGGAAUACCACCAUUGAAAUUAUUGAAGGAAAAAUCAAGGUGUCGUAACGAGGAACAAGGAAGACAAAUAGAGGAUGGGAUAGGACCUGAAAAGGUGUUACUGACAUUGAAACUAGUCAAGUUCCAAGCUUGUUGGAAAAAAGAAGAUGGAAUCAGACCAUGUAAGCGAUUAAUGGAAAAAUCCACCAUCUGAAUAUGACUGGAUGGUAGAGAAGAUGGUAACACUCCAAAGAGAAGGUUAUAGCUCAAAUCCAGGAUUUCGAGAUCAUUCAAGGACAAGAAGAGCUCAGUUUGAUCUAGAGAACCAAAAAGGGAAUUGUGUGAGAGAUUCAAGUAAGUGAGAUGUGUGAGAUUUGCAAGUGAUGAUGAGGGAAAAAUACCUUCCUUUAGUGUGAGCCCUUUGGAGGGUAAUCGCAAGUGGGUUACCCAAUCAUAUCGAUUACAAGUAAUCCCUUCCCAAUAGCAGCAAUUACUAGAAGUCCAGAAUAAGGAAGGGGAAGAUAGAGUGAGGGCAAAGGACAAGAGAGAGGUACGUUCAGUUUGGAUGCAUGCAUCAAUAUUAUGAGUAGAUAAAAUGAGAGAAAACAAGAUUAGCUUGAGAAUAAAGCCUUGUGUCACUGGGUACUCUUGUUGUACUGUUAUGUUUUUUCGAGGCUGAGCCAUGAUCAUGUGGUUGUGGACUUGUGAUAGAUUUUGAUCGUCAGUUUUUGCAUAUAUACAGAUUGAAGCAGAUUUGAAAUUCCAAGACGACCCAGAUUAUAUAUGAUACAUCUUGUCAAUGAAAUUAUACAAUUGGAAGAAAAUAAAACACGGCUGCAUAUAUUAAGGUGGAAAAUAGAAGCAAUGGCAUAUGGACAGAAGAAGGAAAAGCGCGGCUGGCGCCUGCUCCAGGUAACAAUUGAGGAGUAUGGUUUUCAUAUAUAAUAGCUAGCAGUUAGCAGAAGAACAAAUUUAGUAGAAACUAUGCUCUACUUCCAGAAGAUACUAACAUAAAGUCUUAAUUUACAACACCGAGAUCUUUAAAUUGGCAGCUAAGUAUAUAUUAUAGCAUAAAACACCAAAAACAGAGUUGCGGAGAGCUUCAGUAUUUCCAAUGUCUAGCUAGAUGUGUUGACCAUACAAAAUAUUGGAUAGCCUGAAGCUUGCAAAGUUAGUCUUCUUAGGAUGACAAGUAAUCAGAAUGUACUAAGCCUUCUAGAUAGUGUCCUUUAGUCUUUUCUUUUCCUUUUCUUUUUCUUUAAUUUUUCUGCCAUUAUCUCUUCAAAAGAAUGAACUAAGCUUUCUUAAUUUAGUUGGACCACUGUAAGAGAUAGGAUGAGUAUAUAUAUAAUUAUUUACACAUGUAGUUAUUUGUAAAAUUCCUGGCAGCUGCUUAAUUAAUUAAAUAGAUUAUUAAGAUGUCAAUCAUAGAAGAAGAAGAGUAAGAUGCUGUCUACCCAAUAGAAAAAAGAAAAAAAAGAAGAAGAAGAAGAGUGGAAACAAAAAUUUGACUUGAAUAGAAGUACAAGUAUCUAAGAACAGUAUCAUGAAAACAAAGAGUACUGUGUCUUGCAUAAUAAGUAAAACUAAAAUACACUGAAAUUAAGAAUAAGUUCAAACUUCUAGCCUCAGAAGAAUUCUUUCCAACCCGCCCUUGUUAUGCAGACUGUCCAAUCUCAUUCAUAAUUUGAGCCUCUCUUGUACAGUAUACAGGAAAUUGAAAUAUGCAUCCCUCCAGGUCUUGAUAAGCAAUAAUGAACCACAAACUCCCACUAACCCUAUAAUGAAGCCAAGCACAACGGAAAUAGACAAGCCUAGAAUUUGAUUCCCGUCAUUCGUAUCAUCAUCUGAAUCAGUACCAUUGAAUGGUUGGCACGGAUUUAAAAGCGGGGAACCACAAAGCUUUGGAUUCCCCUCAAAUGCUGAGACAUUCAAGCCUUGGAGCUGAGUGCUUUUUGGUAUUUCCCCUUCCAAAUUAUUAUACGAGACAUUUAAAGAUGACAAGAAACUAAGAUGCGCCAAUGAAGCUGGGAUUUCUCCUGACAAAUGAUUCAUUGAAAGAUCCAAAAUCUCCAAGUUUUUGAGAUUAGAUAUUUGGUCUGGAAUGUUGCCUGACACCAGGUUGGCGCUGAGAUCAAAUAUAUGGAGAAGUUGCAGCUUUCCGAUUUCAGUAGGUAUAUUGCCACUGAUGCUAUUGUUGCCUAACAAUAUAGAUGGUGGAUAGUAAGACAAGGAAUUGAACUGUAACAUGCUUGCAUCAGGCAUGGCUUGGGAGACGUGGAGAGGCAAUUCAAGAUAACCAUGAUCUACUUGAGCUGCAGUUUGUUCAGAUACCAACAUUGGUAGUGAGCAAAGUUCUUUUGGAAUUUCACCUGUGAUUAGGUUGGACGCCAAGUUUAUAGAACAGAGCAUUGGAGAAGUCCCCAACCAAGUAGGAAUUGAACCUGUGAUUCUAUUACGUGACAUAUCCAAGAUCUCUAGCUUCUUGAGCUUAGACAACCACAUAGGUAUCUGACCGGUUAGCUCACAACCAUUCAAAGCCAAAAUCCUAAGAUUUUGGAACCCAUCAAGGUCAGCGAUGUGAUCACCAUCUGGCAUUUCUUCACCUAUGAAGUUGUAUGAAAGAAUGAGUACUGUGAGAUUUCUGCCCUUCAAUAUAUCCAUAGCACCUGUGAGAUUGAUCAGUCUGUUCCCAGAAAGUGAUAGGAAGGAUAGGUGUUUUAAUGAGGCAAUCUCGGGUUGUAUUUGUCCCUGUAGAUUGUUGAAGCUUAAUCGAAUUGCUCUAAGGGACUUGCAUGAGUAAAGGCUUAUUGGCAAGAUACCAGUAAAAUGAUUACUCAUGAAGUCAAGUUUACGAAGUUGACCAAGUCUAGAGAAAUUAUAAGUUGAGAUAUCUCCGUCCAAAAGGUUGAAUCCUAGAUUCAGUUCCAUAAGGUUUGUGCAAUUCAGCAAAGAUGGUGGCAAAGAACCUUCUAGAUUGUUGGAAUGAAGGAGCAAGACUUUCAAUUUGGAGAGCUUCCCAAUAUCUAUUGGAAGCAUGCCACUGAACUGAUUCAAGUAGAGGUCAAGUACUGUGAGGUUAGUAAGUUUAACAAUUCUGUUACUGAUGCCCCCUCUAAAAGAAUUUGCAGGGAUUGCAAGUUCUUCUAGUGCGGUAGAAUCAUAGAUAUCUUCCGGAAGUGAUCCUGAGAGGUUAUUGUGACCAGCACGAAAAACUUCCAGUUUGGAACAGUUUCCUAGUGUGCGAGAGAGAUUGCCUCCAAAAUUAUUGUAGGAAAAAUCUAAUAGCCUAAUCAAAGAAGAGUGGACACAAAUAGGGGACGGGAUAUAACCUGUGAAUUGGUUGUUCGUGACAUUGAUAUGAGACAGAUUCUUUGCUUGUUGGAAGAAGGAUGAUGGAAUUGCACCAUGGAAUCGAUUGCUAGACAAAUCCACCAUCCGAAUAUUAUUGGAUGAUGAUAGAGAACCUGGUAGCUCUCCAGAAAGAAAGUUAAAACUCAAAUCAAGUAUCUCAAGAAGACCCAGGGACAAGAAGAAUCCAGCUUGAUCUAAAGAACCAUGAAGUGAAUUGCGAGAGAGAUUGAGGUAGGUUAGAUGUGUGAGAUUACUGAGUGAUGAUGAGGAAAAAAGACCUCCUUUGAGUUUGAGGCCUUUGGAGGAUAGGUGCAAAUGGGUUACUCGACCAACCGCAUCGCAAGUAAUGCCUUCCCAUUUGCAACAAUCCAAGCUGGUCCAAUUUAAGGAAGGAUAAGACAGAGUGAGGGCAAAAGACAAGAGAGAGGUACUUUCACUUGAGGAGCAUGCAUGAAUAUGUGUAGAUGAAAUGGAGCCAAGUAGAAUAAGAAGCAAGUAUUGAGCUAUUGGGUGAUAAGGUUGCACAGCUAGCAUCUUUCUUGGUUUGUGGGACAGUUCAGGUUUAGUUUGAGUUGGUCACCUAGCUAGCCUUGUGCUUGUUUAUAUAAGCAAGAGCCUUUACUUUUUUCUUAGUUUCAAGAAGGUUCAAUUCUUGAAACAGUAGUAGUUCACAGGAAAAACUAUCACGUACUUGAUUGCAAAGUACGAAGAUUUAGCAGGGAACUCCCAGAACCACAAAUCACCAAACAUCGUACGUCUGACGUUUGAACUCUAACGAAGGGGCAGGACCUCUACCGGAGAUUAUGAGUCUGAUAACCUUGCAUCAAAUUUUUCAUUGACGCUGGAGUCACUUAGAUACUCAUGACAUUUGACGCAUGCAUGUAGACUUCUCGAUUACAUGUGAAAUGGAGUUAUGGAGUGAAGGACUAAGAUCAUGUUUGGCUCGGUGAGUAAUGUUUAUCAUCAAGGCAGACAUCGGGAUCCAGACAUUGUCGUUACAUCAGUUAAAUUAAGUCCAUGUUGGCUUGCUGUGCUGUUGAUGACUUUCAAAAUGUCGAUUUCUCUGAAAUGUGAGUGAGUUGUGACUUGUUAAGUUUUUGAUUAUUUGUGAACCUAACAUUGUAGAGGUUAUGACCCCGAACAAACUAUUAUAUGAGAAUAUGCGGGGUGGGAAAACAAACAGAAAGAAGGAAGAACUAAUUUCUAGUCUUGUGGUGUAACUGACGAAGGCGAUGGAAGAACCUCCAUAGGAGGAGGAAGUCAGUGAAAUGACCUUGUAUUAAAUUUUUCAUUGACGCCGGAAUGUCACUAAGACACUGACGUUCGAAACACCCAUGUAGACUUCUCACUAACAUCUUGUAUGGCUCUGUGAGUAAUGUUCAUCAUCAAGGCAGCUAUUGUCAUCUCAGUGGUUAUAAGUCCAUGAUGAUGAUUUGUUGAAACGUUUCUAAGUUGUUGUCUUGUUGAUUAUUUGUAAACCUGACAUUGUAGAGUUAUAGGUCUGAACAUAUGAAUAUAUGAGAAGGAAAAUGAUUGUUUGCCUCGAUAAAUUUUAGGGUCAAUUACAUAUAAGUCCACUUUGAGACAUUUUUUUCCCAUAUUAGUCUACCAUAACAUUUUUACCCACAUAAGUCCACCCAAGCCUAAAUAAGGUUUUGUUUUAGGUAUUAAAGUUAAACAUAAUUACAGACUGCCAUUCAACAAAAAAAAGAUUAUCUCUCUUAUAUUUACAAAAAUAUCACUAACGUAAAAAAUCAACACCUACUAUCAUCUCCGGCCAACCUCAGGCGAGAUCUCCGGCCGAUCUCCGACAAAGUUUCCCACCGACCUCCAACAAUGUUACCGACGAUUGCAAAAGAUACUGUCACCAGCAACAAAAGCUACUACCACAGGCUAUAAAACCUACUACCACCAGCUAUAAAAUCUACUAUGGACCUAUGGUGAGAUUUUCAGCAACCUCCGACAAGGUCACAAAAGAUACUAUCGCCAGCAACAAAAAAUACUACCGAACAUAACAAAAGCUACUACCACCAGCUACAAAAGCUACUAUGCUGAGAUUCCAACGAUCUCCAGCGAAGUCACAAAAGAUAUUAUCACCAGCUAUAAAAGAUACUACCGAGCAUAUGAAAAGCUACUGUCACCAACAAAAAAAGCUACUAUCACCAGCUAUAAAAGAUACUACCGAGCAUAUGAAAAGCUAUUGUCAUCAACAAAAAAAGCUACUAUCACCAGCUAUAAAAGAUAAUACCGAGCAUAUGAAAAGCUACUGUCACCAACAAAAAAAUUUACUAUCACCAGCUAUAAAAGAUACUAUUGAGCAUAUGAAAAACUACUACAAGGUAGAACAAAACUACUGUCACCAACAAAAAAGCUACUGUCACCAACUAUAAAAGAUACUACCGAGCAUAUGAAAACUANNNNNNNNNNNNNNNNNNNNNNNNNNNNNNNNNNNNNNNNNNNNNNNNNNNNNNNNNNNNNNNNNNNNNNNNNNNNNNNNNNNNNNNNNNNNNNNNNNNNNNNNNNNNNNNNNNNNNNNNNNNNNNNNNNNNNNNNNNNNNNNNNNNNNNNNNNNNNNNNNNNNNNNNNNNNNNNNNNNNNNNNNNNNNNNNNNNNNNNNNNNNNNNNNNNNNNNNNNNNNNNNNNNNNNNNNNNNNNNNNNNNNNNNNNNNNNNNNNNNNNNNNNNNNNNNNNNNNNNNNNNNNNNNNNNNNNNNNNNNNNNNNNNNNNNNNNNNNNNNNNNNNNNNNNNNNNNNNNNNNNNNNNNNNNNNNNNNNNNNNNNNNNNNNNNNNNNNNNNNNNNNNNNNNNNNNNNNNNNNNNNNNNNNNNNNNNNNNNNNNNNNNNNNNNNNNNNNNNNNNNNNNNNNNNNNNNNNNNNNNNNNNNNNNNNNNNNNNNNNNNNNNNNNNNNNNNNNNNNNNNNNNNNNNNNNNNNNNNNNCGCAUUGUUCAAAAUAUACUAUCAUACAAUGAGGCCGAAACAUACUAAUGAAUCUUGUUUCAUUCAUCUCCUGCAUUAUCAUAACAUGAUUUUGUGCAUGAUUUCUCACACUCACUAUCAAAUUAACAGAAAACAUCAUCCUAAUACAUGUUUACAUUUUCUCAAAACCAAAGAAAGAAAUUGUAGCAAAUUUACACUAAGAAUUUUACCAGAACAGUCACCUCCAAUCGGAGGUCUAGAUCUUUAGGUCGUCAACCAGAUCUACUACUUCUCGUCGCCGAUCUUCAUUGAUCGGAGCCAUCUGAGGCGACAUCUUUGAAGUCGGCGGAAGGCGAUCACAGCCGUCAAGGACCAAACGAGCCGGCGAGCCAUCAGGUUUCAGAGAUCCCGUCGAGGUCAAAUAAGAAGUUGUUAUCGAUGGAACUGGACGCAAGAGAUGAUCUGACGACUUCGAGGUCAAGGCGCGUUGUCGUCGAUCCGGCAGCUUCGUGGUCGAGGCGCCGUCGUCGAGUCGGCGGAGUUGAGGUCGAGGUGAAGGCUUCAUCGUCGUUCUGGUGACGUCGAGGUCGAGCCAACGUCGUCAUCUAUCAAGUGGCGCCGAGCCAUCGUCGUUGAGUGGGUGUUGGCCUGAGACGCCGCCAUGGCCGGAGAUUCGAGAUCAGAGAAGAGAGGGAGGAGGAAGACGAUGAGAGAGAGAGAGAGAGAGAGAGAGAGAGAGAGAGAGAGAGAGAGAGAGAGAGAGAGAGANAGNNNNNNNNNNNNNNNNNNNNACAACAAUGAUCGAUCAAUCCUUUUUGUCAUGCCUUUGUCACCUACGUAUAUAAUUUCAUCAUGAAAUUCUUAAGAAAAAUACUAUUUCAUCCUUCCAAAAUCUAAAACGACUCAAUUAUAUUGUUUUUUUUUCUUUAGACAUAAAUGAAAACAACAAUUUUUAUUCUUCAAUCAAGAAUCGAAAAAUUUCAUGUAAUUCAGUCAAUAUAUUUGCACAAACAUCAGAGCAAUUGAAUUGCAUGGCACAUGUACCUGAAUUAGAACUUUUUUGCGUUCCGAAAUUUUUUGAAAAUAUAAUGUUAACAAUACAUUCAUAUGAUUAUGCUUAUUUGUGUGUGUAUAUGAUGAGCUAGCGUUAGUUUCAUAAUACAAAGCUAACUCCCCAUUAACUAAACUUUUCGGUCAUAUGUCUGGAUCUUUCACUCUUCAGUUUAUAGUUCCCUAUGUGCAUUCAGAAAAUUUUCAGCCAAUAUCUAAUGAUGGUUUGGGUAUCGAGCAGUGUCAAAUUAAUGGACGAACCGAUAUUCAACUUAUACUGAUCAUGUUCAUAAUUAAUAAAUCACUAUUUUGAAUACCCAAACGAUUGUCAAAUUGGCUAGAAAUAUUCAAGGAUGAUCCACGCAUAGGGAACUACAAGCUGGACAAUGAAAGAUCCAGACAUAUGACCAAAAAGUUGGGUUAAGGGCGGGUUAGCUUUGUAUUAUGAAACUAACCGGUUAGUUGUAUAACGCAUUAUUAAGUUUGUGUGUGUAUACAGUCUCUAUCCACAGCGAAGCUUCGUUUUGAAAUUAUAGUAUGAAGUUUCUUUUUUGACUCACUUUUUAGUCAUAUUGUCACAUCUCCACCGUUCAGUUUGUAGAAGCUAAUGCAUAAAUUGGUCUUAAUGGCUUAAAACGUCCCGUUUAAUUUAGUUUGUAAAUAUGCAGUGCGUCCCGUUUAGUUUGUAAAUACACAGUGUUUUGUGUUGUUGGUGUGACCGUGUUAGGUAGCUGUGAGCUGUAGUAACCAGUGUCGGAAUGACACGUGUCUGUCAUGCCACAACUCAUCUAUAUGAGCUGCUACUUUCUUCCUUUGAGAUAUGCAUGACUAUGUUCUUUUUGUUAACUUUUUUAUUAAAUAACUUACACACCCUUAUAUAGGUGAUGUUUGAACUUAUGAAAUCAACGUUGUUGAUUAAGUUACCUAAUCAACCAGGCACGGCUCACGGACUAUGCAUGACCAUUUUACUUUCUUAGAUAUUUUCUUGACACUUUCAUUUUCUUCUAAGACGUUAGGGUUAGAACCCCAACACUCUUUUGGGGAUAAAGUUAACCAAGCACUACAAGAAUUCAGGGCUUUUACCGCCUAAAAUUUAUGGCGUGCAUCGAUGCGUGCCGUAAAAAUGGGUCAUUUACGGCGUGCAUUUAUAGCAUGCCGUAAAUAUAAUGUUAUGUAGAGUUAUUUACGGCGUGCUUCGUAAGUGCGCCGUAAAUGAGAUUGUGUCUCGAGUUAUUUACGGCUUGCAAUAAAAGCACGCCGUAAAUGAAGAGGUAUUUACAACAUUCCUUUAUUGCGCACCAUUAAUAAGUAUAUGGUAUUUACUGCGUGCAAUAGUUGCACGCCGUAUUAGGGUUUUAACCAUAGACUCAUGUAUAAAAGAGAAGAGACAGGUUGACUUUGGUCAAAACCGAAACUGGUGUUGACCCGAGCCUAGAACUUUCUCUCUCUCUCCCUCUCCGCCUGCCUCCGCCAUCUCCGGCGUGGCGUAGCCGAUUCCGGCCGCCGCAUGCCGCAAGUUCACCACCAAAAUGUUCGUCUUCCUCUUCUCCACCUUCCUUUACCCACCAAUUCGACUUAGGACCAUAGACUUUUCAAAUUGAAGUCCAAACCUUAACCCCCAAAUCCGAUUUCUGGCCGAAUCUCUUUCUCUCCAAUGAGCCCGUGCUUCGUGAAGGUAAACUCAUCACUUCCCUCUUGUUUUCACUCUUCAUUGAGCUUCAAUUUCCAUAUUAGAGCCCUAAUCCUAUUUCUCUAUUUUGCUACAUAUUUAUGGGUUCCCGUCGAAGUUUUCCGGCGACAGUGUUCUUGAGCUUUCAACGACCUCGUCAAGUUCAGGUGGAGUCCAAAAGCGUUUCAGUCCCUUGUUCUUGGUAACUGGAUUCUAUUUCUUAAAUCAAGUGCUCUUUAAUUUGUUGCUUUCUGCAAUUUCCAUUUCCAAUCUUCACUAUACUCACUUUGAUUUAAUUAGGAUAGUUUCACUACUCUUUUAAAUGAAAUAGAGAAUUUAUAACCUGCUGGAAAUCAAAUGGUUUGUUCGAAAAGAAUCAUAUGAUAUUUACAUUAUAGUUUUUCUUUACUAAUAUACAUACAUACUCGAUCUAUCAUACUCAUUGAUCGGUAUUUUCACUUUUUAGAGGAUAUUGAGAAUUUAUAACCUGUUUGAAAUCAAUGAUAUAGGUAUUAUAUUUUCCCUUUAUCUAGCUUAAUCAGUUUUUCUAGCUUAAUCAGUUUUUAAUUACCUGGGAUAUAUAUAUAUAUAUAUAUAUAUAUAUGAUCGAGUAUCAGUUUCUUCUUUAGAUCGAUCCCAGAAAAUAGAAAAAACGAAGAGUGCAUGAAAUUAUAUAAAAUACUUAGAAUUAAGGAUGAUCUGGAUCUCCUCAGUUAAAUUGAUUUCAUCUACUAAAAGAGGUUUUUUUGUUAGUUUUCGUUAUGUUAGCUAGCUCCUUGGUCUUCUUAAAAUACUUUUGUGCUUCACAGAGAUAAGAGAACACUGGAUCUUAGGUUGUUAUCAUAGUCCAGCUUGUCACUCCAGGUUGAUCAAUGUGUACGGAUCGCUCAAUUGGUUGUCAAGAUUAAAUAAGAACGCAAGAAGAUAAUUAGUCCUAUUGAUUUCUAUCAUAAACAGCUUUUACCUGGAAGAUAAUAUAGUCAAUUGGGUGCAAUGAUAAAAGUAACUCACUCAAUCUAUCGUACUAAGAAGAGUAAUAAUAUACAGAAAAUCUUCAUCAUCCUCAUCAUAUUAUAGUCAGUUGGGUUAGAUUUUAUAAUUCGGAUUGCAACAAGGAACAAUCCAGUGGGGCAUGAGCGUGAAAAAGUUUCCUUACCAAGAUAACCUGAUGGUGAAUAUAUCAAGGUUACAAGCGCAAAGGCUUUGUGAAUUCGUUUUAGUGAUCGAAAUACGAUAUAUACAUGGCUGAAUACACCAAAGUAAUUACAAGGGUUAUAUCUGUAUGUAUAAUGGUGAAAUUUGAGUGCUGCUAUAUGUAAUUAUAAAAUCCUUACCCCUUGAAAUUUGGCUUUAUGGAAUCUAAUCUGGAUUUUCUGAAGUAUAUUUCCAAUGGGUCCUAUAUUUCCAAGUUCAUGAAAUUCUAUUGUAGCUCAUUCUGUUUCUUUGUGUUUUGAUUCGGUUGCUUGUGCUUUCUGAUUGUGUAUUACCAAUUUGUGUUCCCAAGUUCAAGUUGGUGCCUUAUUGAGCAAUUAGUAUUCGUGCUUCCUGUAAUUGUUUGUGUUCAUUUUAGUUUGAUAUUUGCUUUGCUGAAUGAUCUGAAUUUUGCUAGUUUGGGUGUUGUAGGUGAUUCAUGUCCAUCUCGUGGUUGAUGACUAUGUACUUGAAGGUCUUAUGAUUACCGCAAAGCAGGUAUUACUUUUUCCAUAAACAUAAAAAUGAGUUUUGAUUCUAGGGUGAUAGAAAAAAUUUGAUCUUUCAUCCGUGGCAAGCUGUUCAAUGAUAUUUGGUUUCUUUCAGCUUGUUAUGCCUUCCAAUCAGAUGAUAAGUCAUAAUUGUUAACCAUGUCAAUAUGGCCAAAGGGUAAGUAGAAGUUCAUAGAUGCACAAUUACAACUUUGUUUAGCUGAAUUUGAUGCAGUUGUUUAGCUGAAUUUGAUAAUAUCGUCGUUUUAGGUUGCGGCUACAAAAAACAAGUGGGAGCAAUGAUAUCGAUCGACCACAGGCUCUUCAAGGGAGACCUCUUUGGAGAAGCAUAUUGAAAGGAACCUAAAUUCAGUGUCUGUUGUAGCAUAUAUAUAGGUAAUUAACUUUAAUGUACUUUAAGUCAUGUUUGGUCAUUUGCUUACUAGCUUGAUGUAAUGAGUUAUAUUAAUACAUUCUAAAUUGUUACUUUGUAAAUGACAUUAGUUAUAUUGAUGGUAAUUUGAGUAUGACAUUUGAGUAAGAAGAUUUUUUUUUUUAUUUGAACAUACCUUAUUUACGGCAUGUAGUGUGCGCCUUAAAAGAUGAUGAUAAAUGACCUAAAUGACAUUUAUGGAAUUACUUUUACGGAUUGUUAAUUAUUUUUUUAUGACGUAUUUUUGCACGCCAUAAAAGAUAUUAGUCUUUUAUGGCCCGAGCUUUUACUGCCUACUUUUGUACGCCGUAAAAAGGCUUUUACGGCGUGCAUUGCGGGUCGUAAAAGAUCAUUUUUGGCGUAGUGAAGAGAGAAGUUCCAGAAUGGGAAUCUGCAAUUGUAUUACAAGUUUACAACCACCAUCACAAUCCAUCACAAUAUCAUGCAUAGAAGUAUGUUCAAGUCCUAUCAGGUAUACAUCUCCAUUGAAAAAUUUGAAAGUAGAAUAUCGAAUAUGCUUUUUUUUACAUAAAAUUAUAAUAAAAGUAAAAGUAGACAUACCAAUUGGUUUAUCCCCAACAAUCUAAAAUCCAAUUUGGAUGACGAGAACUGAACCUCGUAAUUUGUGAACAAGCAAAAUAGCGAGACUGAGGGGUUGAGAGAUGGAGACAAAGAGAGAUUUAGAGAUAGAUGAUGAAAAUUUUGGAAUGCUCGCCUAUUUAUAGAGAGAUUUUGAAGAAGAUGAAUAAUCUUCUUCAUAACUUGGUAACGGGUACUCGAUUUGCUUCAUUUUUGCUAGUAUAUUACACGAAAUGCUGAAAAUUGUUGGAGAUUGCGCGAUUUAUGUUUAGUUUUUUUUUUUCGAUAUCUUCAUUAAAAAAGAUUUUGGGACCCUAAAUUUUAGGUUAAGGCUUAUCACCUUGCUUGCCCUGAACAAGUGCUGGGCCUGUAUAAGUACUGUUUAAGCAUUCAGAUUGUCGUUUGUUUAUUUAGAUCGUUAGAGAUUUAGUUCAUUUGUAGGCUCCCUUUAAGGAUGAGGUUGUUUUAUGCACACCAAUAGGAGUUGACACACAAACUGUAUCCAGGAACACAGAUAUAUAGGAUACUAAGAUGGAUUGCGAGUCCUUAUAGAAAUAUUUUAAACAGUUUUAUUAUAGGAUAGAAUAGAAAUUAUGUUGAACAAUCAUGCAGUACAUGUAAGUACGUAGUGUAGUAAAAUAGGGCUGUAUAACGUAAAAGCUCCCUCUUGAUAUUUCUCUUAUUCAUAUUCACUAUUUGACUAAAGUUUGACGGUACUAUGGAGCGCUUGGUGUUGGUGUAUUUCCACUCCUUCCACAGAUCCCUGCAAAGUAAACAAAAUGGACAAGGUAUAUAUGGUAUUAGUUUAGUGAAGGAAACACUAGCACCGGCCACUUUAGUUGAACCCCUAAAAAUGGGAAUGGGAUCACUUCAAGUCUUCAACCAACUAGUUAUAUAUCUGAUAAAUCCUCUGAUAAACUUUUUCUGGAAAAGAAAAUGAAAUCGCACUUAUAUGUAUAUCAACUGAAUAAUAUUGUUGUUUGUUCGUAGGAACCCAUUAAUAAUGGAGAGAAAAACAAAUACCAUGAAUGGGGGUGGAGCCGCAGAACUCUCUAUUAAGGGUAACGCCCAUCCGACGAGGGUGGCGAUGAGUAGAAAUCCGGUUUGAGGGAGGAGAUGACAGACCGAUUGAGUUGUGUUGAGCUUGGUUGGAUGCAUAUGCAUGAAGAAUGGUAUUAGUUGAUAUGAAGGAAGAGAAGAAGAUCAGGCCUAGAAAGAAGAUGCGAUGAUUCAUCACCAUGUCUCCGUUCAGUUUAGAAUGAUUUCUCACCUAGUACUGCAGGCUAUUUAUACAGUUAUACGUUGGGGGAUGAGGACUAAUUUGAUGCAUUUAAGGAAAGUUAAUAACGCUGAUUGAGACCCCCAACCAGAAAGUCCAUAACCCAAUCUGACGGGCAUUACAUUUUCCAUAUCAGUUGAGAGAGAUCAUGACUUUAGAACCAAUUGAACGAAAAUGCAUAUUAUGAGUCGCUAUUGGGUAAUUAGCAAGUGUGUAUGUUCUAGGUGAUUCCUAUAAAAUCAGUGCGAUUUGAGUGGCGUAUUGAGGAAGAAUAAAAAGUUACAUCUAUUCCUGAGAAUAAAUCACUCAUCUUACUAGUUUGAAUUACCUUGAUGAGAUGAGUUGGGGAUGUACUCUGUCUCCUUACAAGGAUCCCAGAGGACGUCAAAGCAUGACCCCCUCGAUGCAUGCAUAUGCUUAUCAGAAUGGGGAGUGCAUGAAUUUCCUAAUGAAAUUAGAAGCUGAGGGACUGAAUUGAUAAAAACCCUUUUCAGAUAUAGGAUAUGAGUUUUAUGUAAUUAAGAGAAGAAGAAGAGUAAUUAAGAGAAAAAAAACAAUCAAGUACCGAUAUCUAAAAACAGUAUCGUGAGAACAAAGAGUACUAUGCCUUGCAUAAUAAGCAACACAAAAAUACACUGAAAUUAAGAAUAUAGAAUCAUCUUGUAGCCUCAUAAGAAUUCCUUCCAACCAGCUUGUCUUGCAAACUGUCCAAUCGAUCUCAUUCAAAAUUUGAGCCUAUCUUGUACAGUAUUCAGGAAUUUGAAAUAUGCAUCUCUCCAGGUCUUGAUAAGCACUAAUGACCCACAAACUCCCACUAACCCUAUAGUGAAGCCAAGCACAAAUAUGCAAGCCUAGAAUUUGAUUCCCGUCAUUAGUAUCAUCAUCUGAAUCAGUACCAUUGAAUGGUUGACACAGAUUUAGAAGCGGGGAACCACAAAGCUUCGGAUUCCCCUCAAAUGCUGAGACAUUCAAUCCUCGGAGCUGAGUGCUUUUUGGUAUUUCUCCUUCCAAAUUAUUGUAUGAGACAUUUAAAGAUGACAAGAAACUAAGAAGCGCCAAUGAAGCUGGGAUUUCUCCUGACAAAUGAUUCAUUGAAAGAUCCAGAGUCUCCAAGUUGUUGAGAUUCGAUAUUUGGUCUGGAAUGUUGCCGGACACCUGGUUGGCGCUGAGAUCCAAUAUAUGGAGAAGUUGCAACUUCCCGAUUUCAGUAGGUAUAUUGCCACUGAUGCUAUUGUUGCCUAACAAUAUAGAUGGUGGAUAGAAAGACAAAGAAUUGAACUGUAAAAUGCUUGCAGCAGGCAUGGCUUGGGAGGCGUAGAAAGGCAAUUCAAGAUAACCAUGAUCUAGUUGAGCUGCAGCUUGUUCAGAUACCAACAUUGGUAGUGUGCAAAGUUCUUUUGGAAUUUGACCUGAGAUUAGGUUGGACCCCAAGUUUAUAGAAGAAAGUGUUGGAGAAGUCCCCAACCAAGUAGGAACUGAGCCUGUGAUUCUAUUAAGUGACAUAUCCAAGAUCUCUAGCUUCUUGAGCUUAGACAACCAUAUAGGUAUCUGACCGGUGAGCUCACAACCACGCAAAGCCAAAAUCCUAAGAUUUUGGAAUCCAUCAAAAUCAGCCAUGUGAUCACCAUCUGGAAUUUCUUCACCUAUAAAAGUGGUUGAAAGAAUGAGUACAGUGACAUUUCUGCAGCCCUUCAAUAUAUCCAUAGCGCCUGUGAGAUUGGUCAGUCUGUUCCCAGAAAGUGAGAGGAAGGAUAAGUGCUUUAAUGAGACAAUCUCCGGUUGUAUUUGUCGUUCUAGGUUGUUUAAGCUUAAUCGAAUUGCUCUAAGGGACUUGCAUGAGUAAAGGCUUACUGGCAAGAUACCAGGAAAUUGUUUACUGAUGAAGUCAAGUUUACGAAGUUGACCAAAUCUAGAGAAAUUAUAAGCUGAGAUAUCUCCGUCCAAAAGGUUGAAUCCUAGAUUCAGUUCCAUAAGGUUUGUGCAAUUCAGCAAAGAUGGUGGCAAAGAACCUUCUAGAUUGUUGGAAUGAAGGAGCAGGACUAUCAAUUUGGAAAGCUUCCCAAUAUCUAUUGGAAGCAUGCCACUGAAAUGAUUUAAGUAGAGGUCAAGGAUUGUGAGGUUAGUGAGGUUAACAAUUCUGUUACUAAUGCCCCCAUGAAAAGAAUUUGCGGGGAUUGCAAUUUCUUUUAGUGAGGUAGCAUCAUAGAUAUAUUCUGGAAGUGAUCCUGAGAGGUUAUUGUAACCAGCACGAAAAACUUCCAGUUUGGAACAGUUUCCUAGUGUGCGAGAGAGAUUGCCUCCAAAAUUAUUGUAGGAAAAAUCUAAUAGCCUAAUCAAAGAAGAGUGGACACUGAUGGUUUUUAGAAGUGGUUAUGAUACCACUCUUAGAAAUUGUUAUGUGCGGAAGCUAUUAGUGGUGAUGGGCUAGAACAAAGUGUUUAGGACUUUGGUAUAUAGGAGCUAAACUUGGGAGAAUGUUGUUAUUAGGACAAGGUUAUUAUGACAACUAGUUUAGGAGGAUAGAAGGGUUUAGAGGAGAAUUAGAAACAGAGGAGGGCUACUUCAGUUGAAUGCUUUCUUCAUUCAUUCAUAAGUUUGUUACUUGUUGGAUUACAUUGCAUACAUAUUUAUAGAGGUCAUUAACCGACCUUGCAUAGUAGCCACCGACCUAAUGGUCUUCUCUAGAACAUCCUAGACCACUUAGCUAGCUUUAGAUUAUUACACUUCUUUCAUGAUCAUUUUAUAUUAAUCUAGAUUAUUCUAGCUAGCUCUAUCACUUCCUUAGACUUUUCUAGACAACUUGAUCAAUGUAGAACAUUCUAGAUAUGUUUCAAUGCACAUUACUUUCUAACAGACACAAAUAGGGGACGGGAUAUAACCUAGGAAUUGGUUGUUCGUGACAUUGAAAUGAGACAGGUUCUUUGCUUGUUGGGAGAAGGAUGAUGGAAUUGCACCAUGGAAUUGAUUGCUAGACAAAUCCACCAUCCGAAUAUUAUUGGAUGAUGAUAGAGAACCUGGUAGCUCUCCAGAAAGAAAGUUAAAACUCAAAUCAAGUAUCUCAAGAAGACCCAGGGACAAGAAGAAUCCAGCUUGAUCUAAAGAACCAUGAAGUGAAUUGCGAGAGAGAUUGAGGUAGGUUAGAUGUGUGAGAUUACUGAGUGAUGAUGAGGAAAAAAGACCUCCUUUGAGUUUGAGGCCUUUGGAGGAUAGGUGCAAAUGGGUUACUCGACCAACCGCAUCGCAAGUAAUGCCUUCCCAUUUGCAACAAUCCAAGCUGGUCCAAUUUAAGGAAGGAUAAGACAGAGUGAGGGCAAAAGACAAGAGAGAGGUACUUUCACUUGAGGAGCAUGAAUGAAUAUGUGUAGAUGAAAUGGAGCCAAGUAGAAUAAGAAGCAAGUAUUGAGCUAUUGGGUGAUAAGGUUGCACUGCUAGCAUCUUUCUUGGUUUCUCAGACAGUUUAGGUUUAGUUUGACUUGCUCACCUAUCCUUGUGCUUGUUUAUAUAUCAAGAGUCAUAAGCAAGAGCCUUCACUUUUGUGUUAGCUUCGAUUCUUGAAACAAUAGUAGUGUUCAUGGGGAAAAUUAUCACGUACUUACAAAAUACAAACCGAAGAUUUAGCAGGGAACUCUCAGAACCACAAACUAUCACGUUUGACGUUUGAAUUCUGACGAAGGGGCAUGUCGACCUCCAUUGGAGGAACCGAGUCUGAUGACCUUCUAUUAAUUUUUCAUUGACGCCGGAGUCACUUAGACACUGACGUUUGAUGCACGCAUGUAGACAAUCUCGAUUGCAUUUUGAAGUGAAGAUUGAAAGACUAAGAUCACGUUUGGCUCGGUGAGUAGUGUUUAUCAUCAAGGCAGUCAUUGUCGUCUCAAGUCUGAACGGUUAAAUUAAGUCCAUGUUGGGGUGCUGUGCUGUGGCUGACUUUUUUGAAAUGUCGAUUUCUUUGAAAUAGCUGGGCCAUCCUGGACAUGAACCAGAGACCUCGCCGUGAUCGGCUGUUAGGGCGAUGGGGACGAUAGAGAGUCCUCUAGUGUGUGAGCUGUGACUUAAUGUGAGGUUGAAAGUUAAGGGAGCGAAAUAUUUGAACUCUCCCAAAGGCUCACAUACCCGAAUUCUCUGCAACUGAGCUGGUCCCUUGCCUAAGAAUAAGGGAUCGUUCUCUUUUAUUUAUUUUUUGUUCUUAUUUGCUUAUAAAGGCUAGGUACUAGCUAGCCAGCUAGCUAGGUUUCUUAUUAGUCAUAAGUCAUACCGUAGAAGAUUAUUUCCUUGUGCUCACUGGAGUACUGUUUAAGGCUUAAAGCAAUCAGAUCGACAGAAAAAUGAACAUGGAUACUGAGAUGGAUUGCGAGUCAUUAUAGAAAUAUUUGUAACAGUUUCCUUAUAGGAAUAGGAUACAUUAUGUUGAAUUGUCAUAGUAUAUGAAGUAGCUAGCUAGUGAGUAAAAUAGGGCUUGUAUUACACAACAGCAAGAGUGAACAACAUUAGUGUUCCCUCUUGCUUGAUAGUACUCUUAUUGUACUAUUUGACUAUAUAUAGUUUGAAGGUCCUUUGGAGCGCUUGGUACUGGAUGACGUGCUCCAAUGAUCCCUGCAAAGUAAACAAAAUGGACAAGGUACAUAUGGUAUUAGUUAGCACCACUUUAGUUACCCCUAAAAUUGAGAAUGGGAUCACUUCAACCAACUAGUUAUAUAUCUGAUACACGUUUUUUUCUGGAUAAGAAAAUGAAACCACUCAUAUACAUCAACUGGAUUGUAUUGUUAUGGGUUAGACAGGAACCGAUAAUGGAGAGAAAAACAAGUACCUCCAAGGGGGGUGCCGGGUUCUGGAUGAAGGGAGACCAAACGGUUGUGAUUACACUUGGUAAUGCCCAUCCGACGAGGGUGACAAUGAAUAGAAAUCUGGUUUGAGGGAGUAGAUGACAGACCAAGUGAGCUGUGUUGAGAUUGGUUGGAAGCAGAUGCAUGAAGAGUGUUAUUAGUAGAUAUAAAGGAGGAGAAGAAGAUCAGGAGGAGAAAGAAGCUGCCCUGAGCCAUCGCCAUAUCUUCGUUAAAGGUUAGUAUGAUUUCUCACCUAGUCUUCCAAGCUAUUUAUAUACAUACUGUUAAUACAUAGCUAAAACAUUUGGUCAUACCGAGAAUGUAACGUCAUUACCCGGUAGCCGGAGAUCAUUCCGGCCUACGCGCCGCCAGCAAGGCCUUCAUAGGCACCCAAACAGUGGAGACACAACAACAAUACACAUGCCAGACCCAUUCUGCAAUAGCUAAACUCCCCCGAAAGGAGGGAGAUUGAACAAUGCCAUAAAACAGUCCCACAUCGGGAACUAACGGCAAAACCCCCAAUGCUAGCCUAUAAAACAGGCACAGAUCCCCAAAUAAGGUAAGUUCAUAACUCCUCCCAUACUCCCGUACUAUACAAGUAGCAACUCAACGCUACCUUAAGCAUCGAAGAGUCGAAGAUUGGGCCACCCUAGUUCCGACUCCUGACGUAUUGUUACUUGUGCAGCCCCAGGACCCGGAGCCAAGGAUUCGACCUCCCGUCUCGUGAUCUCGGGAGAAGUAGAAACAAUUGGCGCUAGAAGGAGGGGAACCCUCUUGUGGAACUCUCAUUUUAACUUAAAAAGAUGGUGGAAAUUAGAGAUGUCCCAAACGAACCCGAGACCCACAUAGAAAAGGAACUUUUCCAAUCUGAAGACGCCUCCCUUAACCAAGCUACCGCAUCUAUGGGCCAUGUUAACCACCCUGAUGCCGCUACAACCCUCGAAAUCUUAAAAAAGGACUUCCAUUCGUUCCGAGAGCAAGCGGUUAAGGAUAAGGCAGAGGCCGAAGCGUACCGAGUACGCAUCGCUGAGCUGGAAAAGGAAAAAUUCCUACUCCGCCCCACUCUGGAUCACCGUAACACCUACAAUGAAACCUUAGAGCGGGCAGCGAGGGUCACUCCCACCCCGGAUCCCACCUUGACAUCUCUUUUUCUUAACCAAGGACAGAACAGUUCCAUGCUCUUGGGAGGUCCCAACCAGAUCAUCUAUGUCACUCAUCCACUCAUCCAUCCAUCUUUUCUACUCCCAGCCCCUCAACCAUCUACACUCAAUAAUGAGUCCAUUCCCCCGAUAAACCGACCCGAGCAAUCUGAUACUCCAUCCCAACCCUAAUCCCACCUCUGCCAACCCACCUCUCGACAUACAAACCCGACUUCUCCUCCAGCUCAGCAAUUCUGUCAACUAGUUGGCCUCCCGAAUUGAGAGCGUCGAGAGUCGCGGGAGCCAACGACCUCUAUUCUCGGGGUAUGGACACCGCCCAAGUCCCUUCACGCCACGAGUUCAGCUAGAUAAGAGAACACCCGAGGCCAAACCUUUCAAGAUAUAAGGGUACCAGGGACCCCCACCUCCACCUUGAAACAUUCCUCUAAAUUGUGCAGCUCCACCCGGUACACAGAUGUCAUGGCCUAUCAUGCCUUCCAAGAAACCCUCUCAGAUGAAGCACUUAGUUGGUUCCUCAACUUGCCCCCCAACUCCAUUGACAAUUUUUAUCAACUCUCGGAGCGCUUGCUCAACCGUUUCAUACUCCAUGCCAGCAUCUACAGAAGUGUGGAUGCCUUGUUUAACAUUAAGCAAAAAGAGGGUGAAGGACUUCAUGCAUUCCUAUCCAGGUGGCAAUCAGCCACGGCACGCUACCACAACCUGGAACCCCGAGUCGCUGAACAAGCUUUUCGCCAAGCCUUGCUUCCGGACAGUUUCCUAAUGGAGGUUAAUAGGAACCCUCCAGGGUCAUACGAUGCCUUGAUGGACCUUGAUGUCCGAUGGGCACGUGCUGAGUUUGCCACAUUUGGGCACUCCAAUCAAACCACCACAUUAGCUCUUCCAGCCCCACCCCCCCAAGUAACAAUCCCAACAGAAAUAUAACCAUUAUGACAGAAACAAGUAGCAUGGCAGCAGCCGAGAUAACAACCAGGGGCGUGCGUGGUUCAGACCGCCGCCAUAAUGGACAACGAGGACGGGACCAUCCUUAUCGGUCCCGAGAGCAGAGCCCCUAGCAGCAACGUCGCUCUUCCCCACCACCCCAUUACGAAGUCCACACUACCCUGACCACUACAUAUGAAGACAUCUGGGCCAAGCACAAAGACCUCAUUCCCCCGCCACCCAAGAGUAAGUACCCCAAGAAGCCCCGACGGGCCACAGGGAACAAGUAUUGUGCUUAUCAUGAUGACAAUGGCCACACCACUGAGAUGUGGCAAGGCCUCCGUAAUGCAAUCGAGCAUUUAAUCCGAAACGGGCAACUCCACUAGUAUUGCACUCCCACAACGGGAGCUAACGCCAUCGAGGUUCAUGGCCAGAUCCUAACCCUGCAUGGCGGAGCCCCACGACUUCCCCCUCGUCAACCCUCUGCCAAAAGGCAAUGUACAACUCCUUUGGAAAUUCUCGAGUUGCAAAGAGGUGUCACCGCCACCCCAUCAGCAUGGGACCAGGUGUCAUUUCACAAAAGGGAAGACACGAUAAAUUGCCACCAUAAUGAGCCAUUCAUAAUCAAUGUCCAAGUAGAUCACUACAGGUGCCAUAGAGCCCUCGUGAACACAGGAGCUGCAGUCAGUGUAAUGUUUGUUGAUUGCUAUACAGGGCUCCGGCGUGACCGAGCUAAACUGUAUAAAAAUCAUAAUCCUCUUGUCAGUUUCUCAGGAGAGAUUGUAUAGCCCUUAGGCUCGGACCGCUUGACAGUUUCGGUGGGAGCCAACCCCUGUCGUGCUCCUAUCACGGCACGUUUUCUCAUAGUUGAUUGUCCCUCAUCCUAUAACAUCAUCUUGGGCCGCGACAUCAUUUGGGGACUACAAUGCUUCAUUGCAGGUCACAUGCUACUCAUGAAAGUGCUUACCCUGGGAGGCAUACUUACAAUCCAAGGAGAUAGGGCAACCAUUGAACACUGCCACCUCAAUGCCAUUCAGCAAGGGCGUGGUGCCUAUGAGAUGUUGCCACUCAGCCCCUUUGAGCCCAUUGAUGACCCUAGGGAUGACCCUGACGGGAAAGAAAAGAAGAAGCAGAUCCCAAGGCCUAACCCGACAGAAGAGACAGAGUGGGUCUCCCUAUUACCUAGUGCUCCUGAGAGGAAAGUCCGCAUAGGCACAAACCUUAACCCGGAACUCCGCGAAAAGCUCAUUACCUUUCUCCAGGAUAAGCAAGUAGUCUUUUCUUAGUCCUAUGCUGACAUGCCAGACAUCUCCCCUGAUGUCAUCACACACAAACUCAACAUCCUCAAGGACUAUCCCCCUGUCAAGCAGAAAAGGCGUGCCUUUAACCCGGAAAAGUAUCGAGCUAUACAAGCCGAGGUUCAAAGAUUGAAGGAGAUCAAGUUCAUCCGAGAGGUCUCCUACCCAGUCUGGGUUUCCAAUGUUGUCAUGGUUCCUAAGCCCAAUGGGAAAUGGCGAAUGUGUGUUGAUUACACUAACCUCAAGAAAGCAUGUCCCAUGGACAGCUUCUCCUUGCCACGGAUUGACCAGUUGGUUGACUCCACAGCUGAUUAUAAGAUGCUCAGUUUUCUGGAUACCUACUUGGGAUAUAACCAGAUUAAGAUGCACCCGGCAGAUCAAGAGCACACCACUUUUGUUACAGACAAGGGUCUAUACUGUUACGGGGUCAUGCUGAUAGGUGCAUAAUUAUACAUUAUUUGUAUCAAAAUCCUCUAUACUUUCUUUGUUUGUUCAGUGUAUUUUCUAGUUAUUUACUUUGUUUCUUUGUUUUCUAGGUGUUCCGAAGCAAAUAAGAAGAAAAGAAGGAAAAGAGGGAGUGGAAGACGAAAUUCAGAAAUUUGCCUUUGAAAGUCAGCCAAAUACGACGGAGGACUAAGGGCAGCUCGAGAAGAACCAGAUGAUGAGUCUUAUAUCAACGGAAAGUUACGGAUGUCAGCUUUCCAUAGCAUUUUACGGUUCAUGAAUAUGUUUUUCCUAGAAGAAGUUAUGGACAAUUUAGUACCAUAAGGUCAAUCUGCGCGCGAAUCUGACUCUUGAUGGGAAUUUGUGUUUUGAGGCCCAAAUCACACCGGGAGGCCCAUGGACGAGUUUGUACUUCAUUAUCCAACUUAUUAUCUCGAUGUGAAGCUGAUUAUGAAUAAUUAAAUGAGUUGGCACACUUACAUUGGUCCUACAGAUGUACACCAAUCAAAAUGUCCAAGGAAACCUAAAUCAAGAAGGAUUGGUUGAAAGAAGCAAUAUAAAAGCCUGUGCUAUCAUUCUUGACGGCUUCCUCUUCUUCUUCUCCGCUCCUCCUCCCAUUCUUCUGUUUUUGUUAUAAUGUCUAUUUAGUUUCUCUUGGUUAGGGGCUGCUUGAAGCCCUAGACAUGAACAACAAGAUUAUUUGAGUUUUGGUUUUAGUUUCAUUUAAUCCAAGAUGAGAUUUGGUUUACUAUUAUUGCAUUGACGAAUUGUUUUCUUGUAUGUUUUGAGUGCACGCUUGGUAUACAGUUAGGGUUCUAUAUAGCUUUGAUAGUUUGAUGCCAGUGUCAAUAUCGGACUCCUCAAACUAUCUAGAGAAGCAAUUGUUAGUUUUUGCUAGCAAGUAAACUAAAUCCUAGGUUUAGCAAGGCGCUAAGUUUAUUGCGAUGUCUUGUGAUGUCUCAAAUCCUUUUAGAACUUAAGGAUCUCUGCAUGUUUAAUCUAAUAAGCAUACUUUUAGAUUGCAUUGCUUGAGAAUAGUUUAGGUGUAGAGCACUUCCUGCCUAGCGUACGAAGUAAGAAAGGGUAAUAGGUUGUGUUUCAAGCGUACCGAACCAACCUGAGCAUCUUCAUCUAGAUUAAUUAAACUAUAACUGAACAAAUUGUCUCACGUGUGAUUGUCGGGGUGGAUUGCAUCUUCCCUAGCUAGUUUUAUCUCAUUGUUUCCCAAAACCAAAACCAAAAUCAGUUUUAGUCACUAUUCUGUCCUCUGUUUUUCAGUAUUUAUUUGGCAUAGUAAACGAACUUCGAUUCAUCUGAAUUUUUGUGUGUGAGUCCGUCUGUGUGUCUAGUUCGAGUCUGUAAAUUCUUGUAUUUUUCUGACUUGUUUAGGUUAGUCAACUAAUUAGGUUUUCGACUGCUGUUCGCUAGGAUCAGUAGCCACUUUUGUGACAUCUUUUGAGUAGUUGGAUUCAUUUAGUCCUCUGCGGGAAUGACCCUUAUUUACCAAUACUAUAAAUGAUGAUCUAGUAGUGAAUAGGGAAAAUAAAUUGGUUUAGAAAUAACUGAUCACUCACACAAAUCCCAAGGGCCAAGAACUCUAAAGCUGAUGCCCUCGCGAGACUAGCCACAGCCCCUCUCAAGUCCACGCCACCUAGUAUCUCAAAGGCUUACUCAGAAAUCUUUGCCCUCGAGACGACUAGCCAGCCCUCAUGGAUGGACCCAUAUGUGGCCUUCCUUUCUAAUGGCACCUUGCCCUUGGACAGAAAAGAAGCACACCGGUUGCACCACAAGGCUUCACUUUACCUGCUUAGGGGCGGUAAGCUGUAUCGUCGUGGCCAGUCAUGUCCCUUCCUGAAAUGUUUACCUACAGAAGAAGGGCACAAGGUAUUAAGGUCACUCCACAGUGGGGUCUGUGGAAACCAUGCAGGGGCCCGGAACCUCAUGUUCAAAGCACUCCGAGCUGGGUAUUACUGGCCCACACUAGAACAAGAUGCAAAAGCAAUUGUCCGAGCAUGCCUCCAAUGCCACAAAUUUGCUAAUUUUGCUCAUCACCCCCCAGUGCCACUAUAUGUUAUCGUCUCCCUAGUCCCUUUCAGUCAGUGGGGAUUCGACUUCGUGGGACGGUUGCCAACAGCCUCGGGACAACUCAAGUUUGCAAUCGUCCUAGUAGACUACAACACGAAGUGGAUAGAGGCAGAACCCUUUGCCACAAUCACAACUGAAAAGGUGAUUAACUUCCUAUGGCGAAAUCUGUACUGCCAGUUUGGGGUGCCACAGGCCAUCAUCACGGAUAACGGGACACAAUUUGACAACGACACAUUCAGAGAAUUCCUCUCCAAGCAAGGCACCAUAAUCUUCUAUGCCUCCCCAGCACACCUUCAAACCAAUCGCCAGGUGGAAGCCAUAAACAAGCUCAUCAAACAGAACUUGAAGAAACGGCUAGAAGACGCCAAAGGGUUAUGGGCAGCCAAGCUCCCAGAAGUCCUUUGGGCACUGCGUACCACCCCAUAAACAGCUACAGCUGAAUCCCCAUACCUCCUGUCCUAUAGCACCGAGGCAGUGAUUCCAAUGGAAAUGGAGGUCCCGAGUGAACGUGUCGCGGCAUACGACCUCAAGACAAACGUCAAAUGGUUAAGACUUAACAUGGACCUCUUGGAGGAACGCCGGAACAGGGCACAUCUCAGGAAUGUCAACAACAAGCAAAAAAUUGCCCAACACUACAACAAGAAAGUUGUCUCCUGCCCCCUGAAGGUAGGUGAUUGGGUCAUAAAAGAAGUCAUUCCCCACCCCUACGGGACUCAAGGCAAAGUGGGAAGGCCCACUAGAGAGAGUCAAUGCCCUGAGACUAGCUACAUUCUAUCUCCGCGACACCGAUGGCUGGGUACUACCCCACCCCUGGAACGCUCGCCACCUCCACUAAUAGGAACAUAAAUAUGCGACGAUAUGAUGGUUAAUUCCCCUCUUUACUUUAUUAGUUUAUCGUAUUUUCCAUUUAAUUUAGUUAUUUUUAUGUUUAUUAGGUGUUUCGGAGCAAAGAAAGGAAUAUGAAGCAAAAAAGGAGAAAUCUUGAAGGAUUAGGAAUUCAUGUCGUGCAAGGAAAGAAUUAUGAGAUCUGCCAGAACUUAUCAUCUAACUUCGACAGAGGAUUGUGAUCAGCUCACAACGAUCCAGACAAUGAGUUAUAUAUCAAUAGAAAGCUACAAGAGUCUACUUUCUAGAACAUUUUACGGAUCGUCAAUACCUAUUUUGGAGAAGAAUUUAUGAUCAUUUUAGUGGCCGAAGGUCAGUCUGCCCGAAUUUCUGAUUUGGACCGUAACUUCAAUUUCAAGGCCCAAUCCAAAUCAGCUGGCCCAUGGGCGGAAAUUGAGGGUUCUCUAACCUAAUAUCAUCUGAUACACGAGAGGAAACGAAGGAGAAGAAGAAGUCGGGAAGAAAAGAACACAAGAAUCGGACGGAACAAGAUUGAUCUCUUCUCAAGGAUUCUCCAAGCUCGGUUAUUGUUGUCUUCCCCUUCCAUAUGAACUCUUUUGUGUUUUUAAUUUUCAUUAUGUGCAACUAAACUCAUAGUAGCUAGGGGCUGAUGAAGCCCCUAGACAUGAUUCAUAACAUGCUUUGAUUUUCAAUUUGUUUUUGCAAUUAAUAAGAUUGAGGUUUUGUUUACCUAUUGUUCAUCGAUGAAUUCUUUGUGUGUGUGCUUUGGAGGCCUACUUAGUAUACAUGCUAGGGUUCUAAUACUUUGAUUAUUUGAUGCCUGGGUCAAUAUCGGAUCCCUCAAAUUGUCUAGAGAAGUAAUCGGUAGUUUUCACUAAUGAGUAGACGAAACCCUAGUUUUAGCAAGGCGCUAAGUUUAUUGCGAUGCCUAGUGAUUGCUCAAACUCUUUUCAUGCUUAUUGAUCUCUGCUUGUUUAACCUAAUAAACAUACCUUUAGGUUACAAUGUUUGAGAAUAGUUUAGGUGUAGAGCACUUCCUGCCUAACGUACAAAGUACGAAAGAGUAAUAGAUUGUGCUCAAGCAUACCAAGUCAAUCUGAGCACCUUCAAUUGAGUUAGUUGGUCAUAAAUUGGACAAAGUGUGUUGUGUGUGAUUGUCGGGGGUGGAUACUUUCUCCCUAGCUAGUCUCAUUAUCUUGAUUUUCAACUACUUUGAAAUCAGUUUUCAGUUUUCUUAUCUUCUGUUCGUCAUAUUUCCGUAUUUUAUUUCCCUAUCAAAUCAACUCCGAUUAAUCUCAAAUUUUGUGUGGUAGACGCUCUGUGUGUCUAGUACACCUCUGUAAAUUUUCGUGUUUUUCUGAGCAAUCUAGGUUAGGUUUUACUUUUUUUUUUCGACUGUUGUUCAAUAGGAGCUGCAGUCACGUUUUGUGACUUUUGUUGAAGCUUUUAGUUUAACUUAAUCCUCUGCGGGAGACUCUUAUUUCUCUAUAUUAUAAUCGACAAAUUUGCAGGAGAAUAAGGAAAAUAAAUAGCUUUUAAUUUAGCUAUCAAUUUUAUGGCGCCGUGUCGCCGGGGAUUACUUUACAUCUAAUAGCUUCUUUUGUUUUGUGUUUGUUUCUUGUUGUGUUUUAGUUUUUAAUUAGUGUUCUUUGGUCCUCUUUUCAGGUGAAUGCACACUCGAAGGACUGUGCAAGGCGAACUUACCCCUUUGGAUUUGGAGAUAGAACGCUCUUGUAAGUUGAAUAAGAAGCAAUCGAAAGACUCUCGGUUGCCAAUUGAAGACAUAAGGGCAGGUUCUACUUCUUCACAAGAGGAGGAACACGGCAAAUACCAUCAUCACCUACACAUUCAAUUCACGAGGACGAGGACGAGGAAGAGCAAGUAGAGGAACCGCUAAAAGCUAAGAUGGCAUUGAAGGAUUCCUUUGUCCCAACCGCUACAGACUCUCCAUCAUGCAUCGAUUACACACCACUGGGCAAUCAUUCGUUUUUGAUCCCUGUGCAGUUACUUGGACAAUUGCCCAAGUAUACGGGUUCACCAUCUGAGGACCCUAAUGUUCAUAUUAGGGAGUUCUUGGACAUAUGCAAACUACAAACUAUAGCAAAUUUGCCUCCUGAAGGGCUUAAGUUGCUUUUGUUUCCCUUUUCUUUGAAAGAUGAUGCUAAACGUUGGCUUAACUCUUUGCCUGCAUAUGGAUCAUCACUACAUGGGAUGGAAUGGUCAAGAAGUUCCUGAAACAAUUCUUUCCAGCCCAACUGACAAAGAAACUGAGGAGGGAGAUUCAGAAUUUCACUCAGAAAGAUGGUGACACCUUAUAUGAGGCAUGUGAGGAGUUCCAAGAGCUACAAAGGAAGUGUCCCCAUCAUGGUUAUGACUUGGUUCAAUUUUUCUAUGAUGGACUGGACACGAGUAAUAGAGGCAUGGUGGACUCAGCUUGUGGAUGCACAUUCAUGAACAAGACCGGUCAAGAAGCAUACAAUCUUAUUGAUGACUUGGCUGACAAUAACAGGAAAUUUAGCACAAGGGACAAGCGACCUAAAGGCCGUGGAGUAUAUGAGGUUUCAUCAUCAUGGAAUCAAAUGGUGGCAAUGGAGAGAAAGAUUGACAUGUUGGUUAAUGCCAUAGGCAAUGGCUCUAAAGCAUCUCCUCAGGUAUGCUCUAUUUGUUCUUAUUCUGACCAUACUACUAAUAGAUGUCCUAUGUCUUCUUUGUCUGAGGAGCAGGUGAAUUAUGCGGGGCAACAAAGACCUAAAUAUGAUCCUUACUCGAACACGUACAGUCCUGGAUUGAGAGAUCAUCCUAACUUUCGUUGGAGUAAUAAUGACAACGUGAUUCGACCCCCUCAAGGUGCAUACAAUGGACCACUUGGAUUUCAACAAGGAUCAAGGCAGCAACCAUACCAACAAGCUUCACCUCAACAAGCUUCAAGUAAGUCUCUGGAGGAUGCGUUAAAGAAGCUGGCUCUUAACACUUCAUCUUUUAUGCAAGAUACCAAGGCUCUAUUUAAGGAGUAGGGGCAGUCUAUCAAGAACUUGGAGAGACAAGUUGGGCAACUCGCAACGGCGUUGCAAACGAGACCUCAAGGUGUUCUUCCUAGCACAACAGUUCCAAAUCCUAAGGAUGGGAGCAUGGCUGAGCUUAAUGCAGUCACUUUGAGAAGUGGAAAACAAUUAGAGGAGCCUACUAAGCCUCACAAGUUGUGCUUGACAUGGAACCUGAACCUAUGCCGUAUGAUCUUCCUCUCAUCCUAGGUCGUCCAUUCUUGAGAACGGCACGCACCAAGAUAGAUGUGUUUGAAGGAACUUUGACAAUGGAGUUUGAUGGAGAAAUUAUAAGCUUCAACAUCCUUGAAGCUAUGAGGUACCCUUCUGAUAUUUACUCUUGUUUCUCUAUUGAUGUUGUAGAUAUUUUGGUGCAGGAUACCUUUGAUGCAAGUAUGGGGGAAGACGCACUCAAGAAAACUUUGGAACUCGGUUUGACUUCUCAACAAUUAUCGAUCGAUGGGAAUCUAAGGGUGGAUCGUUGGUCGUCUACUCAGAAAAUUUCAGAUUCAUGUUCUAUGGUUUUCCAUGAGGAUUUACUUGAGAUGGCCCCUUUCCUUGAUGCCUCACCUUAUGUACCAGCUAAGUAUACUUCAAAUUUCAUUCCUCUUCCUUUAUCUAAUGAAAAACCUAUCCCUUAUGUGAUUCAGGCACCCAAAUUGGAACUCAAACCUUUGCCGGAGCACUUGAAAUAUGCUUUCUUGGGAGAGAAUGAGAUGUUGUCGGUUAUUAUUGCAGCCAACCUUUCAUUGCAGGAGGAGGAGAAAUUGAUAAGGGUUUUAAGGGAACACAAGUCAGCAAUAGCAUGGAGCAUAGCAGAUAUUAAGGGAAUAAGCCCUUCCGUGUGUAUGCAUCGUAUCCUUUUAGAAGAGGGCACAAAACCAUCAAGAGAGGCUCAAAGGUGUCUUAAUCCGCCUAUGAUGGAGGUGGUGAAGAAAGAGGUUCUCAAACUCCUUGACGUGGGUAUUAUCUAUCCCAUAUCUGAUAGCCAAUGGGUGAGUCCGCACUACCAAAAGAAAGGCUUUAGCCAACGAAAAAAAAAAAACCAUGCCGACAAACUAUUUUUUCGUCGGCUAACAUGGACUUUAGCCGACAAAAUUUUCCUUCGUCGGCUAAUUUAAAUUUUCGUUGGCUAAAAAUUCUUUAGCCGACGAAAUUAAAAUUUUGUCGGCUAAAGUUCACAGACUAUANCCGANNNNNNNNNNNNNNNNNNNNUAUAUAUAUAUAUAUAUGUUAAUUAAUUUUAUAAAUAUUGUGUUGAUGGUAUGAAGUUGUUGAUGAUGAUUUUGUGAUGAUGUAGAUAUAUAUAAUAUUAUAUGUAAUUAUUAAGUAUAUAUAUAUUUGUGUGUGUGUUAAUUAAUUUGUUAUUAAUUAGUUGUAGUACGUAGAAUAUACACUAAAAUGAAUUGAGAUUUUAUAUAUGGCAUGAAAUUUAAUUAAUAAUUAGCUAGCGUUAUACAUAUAUAUUUUGUUAUAUUUUCAGGAUAUGGAUAAGAGUUGGAUUUCGCUUCCAAAAUGGGACAAAAGAUUUGGUAAAGGAGUUAUGAGUUUUCUGGAAUAUGCGCUGGCUAAUGCUAACGGGAAUACAAUUUUCUAUUGCCCGUGCACGAAAUGUCAGUGUCGCAACGAUAUGCAUCGAUUUGCAAUUGACAAAGUAUGGCAGCACCUAAAGAGUAACGGGUUUUGGGAGAAGUACACAUGUUUGUUAUAUCACGGUGAAACAUCAUUAGAGGGUCCGCAUGAUCAUGGGCAAUUUUCUGAGACGGGCAGUACAUCCAACGAUCCAACAACGGCCUUCAUCAAAGACAUGUUUUCUUAUGAGAGCAGUGUAUGCGCUCAAGGACAGUAUAUGCCUGAGCCGGUGCAGCCCUUCCCUAGAGUUGUCAACACUACUGGUAUUGACAAGUACAACAAACUGCUUGCUUUCCAACAGACCCCUGUGUACCCCGGUUGUCAGAAGACCGUUCUUGAAAGUGUGAUGGACGUAAUGAAGAUUAAAGUUGAGACAAAAUCGACCGUGAAGGCUGUCGAUGAUUAUCUAUAGUACACUGCUUCGAUGCUGCCCCACGGUCAUCGUCUUCCUACCACUCAUCAUAAGGUCCGAUGUAUCCUGAAAGAUCUUGGGCUUUCCUACAUCAAGAUCCAUGCAUGCAGAUAUGAUUGCGUUCUCUUCUGGGGUAAAGAUCAAGAAGGGAAUGACCUUGGUGGCCUUGACACAUGUCUGGUAUGUCACACUGACAGGUGUAAGCUGACUCCUGCAGGCAAUAGGAAACCAGUGAAGGUACUUCAGUAUUUCCCGUUGAGGGAUAGGCUGGAGCGGUUGUAUAUGUCUUCACACACGGCCAAAGCUAUGAGAUGGCAUGUAGAUAGGGAAUUGCAUGACGAAGAUACCCUUAUACACCCUGUUGACGGGGAGGCUUGGAAGCAUAUAGACAGGGAGUUUCCUCAUUUUGUGUCAGAGGUCCGAAAUGUGAGGCUCGAGCUCUCAUCCGACAGGUUCAACCCUUUUGGCAACAUGAGUCUUCAAUACAGUGUAUGGCCGGUGAUUUUGGUACCGUACAACCUUCGUCCAUGAAUAUGCAUGAAGAAGGAAUACAAUAUGUUGAGUUUGUUGAUUCCGGGGCUCGGCUAUCCAGGGAAGUGUCUCGAUGUGUAUUUGAGACCUUUGAUUGAAGAGCUUAAGUUUUUGUGGGACGUUGGUCAUCCCACUUAUGACAAGUACAUGCACGAGAUGUUCCAGAUGCAUGUCAUGGUUGUUGGUACCAUCAGUGAUUUUCCUGCCCGUGGGAUGUUGUCGGGCAACGUUGUUAGGGGAUACAAGGCUUGUCCAGAGUGCCUUAGCGAUGAGGGGAGCAGCAGUCAUUGCAACAAGAUAUGCAGAUUGGGUCACCGUACUUUCCUUCCAUAUAAUCACGAAUGGCGGUUCGAUGACAAAACAUUUGAUGGGACCGUAGAACACGGUGUGCCUCCCAGAAGAUGGACGGGGGAAGAAAUUUUAGCAGUGCUUAAUGAGUACGAUUUUGGACAGCUCAGCAAUCAUCCCAACAUUGUGGCGGCAAUACCUGAAAGACCCGACAGGUACAAAUUCUGGACACAUAAGAGCAUAUUCUGGGAACUCCCAUACUAGAGUAAGUUGUUGAUCAGGCACUACCUAGAUGUGAUGCACAUAGAAAAAAAUGUUUGCGACAGUGUGGUGGGCACAAUGCUGAACUUGGAGGGGAAGACGAAAUACGGCCCUAAGGCACACAUUGAUUUAAAAAAAAUGCAAUUAAGAAGACAUCUGUGGUUGAAAGAAGGGAAGAAAAAAAUGCCUCAAGCUCCUUACACCGUGAAGCCUGACCAGAAGAACGUAAUUUUCAGGUGGAUGAGUUGUGUGAAGUAUCCUUCAGGCUAUGCAGGAAAUAUAGCCCGGUGUGUGAACUUCCGGGACAAUAAGAUGUACGGGUUGAAGAGUCAUGACUGUCAUAUCUUGCUACAACGUCUCUUCCUUAUUUUCAUUCGACCGUUCCUUCCCCGUCAGGUGGUAGAGCCGUUAGUAGCGUUGGCAAGAUUCUUCCAGAAGUUAUGCACACGGGAAGUGAAAAAAUCUAACCUCCGGGAAAUGCAAGAGGACAUCAUUUAUAUCAUGUGUAAAUUUGAGAGGAUAUUUCCUCCAAAUUUUUUUGACAUCAUGCCUCACCUGAUGAUCCAUCUUCUCGAGCAAUUGUUGCUUACCGGUCCCGUACACUACACUUGGAUGUAUCCCAUGGAAAUGUACGUUUUUUACACCUGAAUUCCUCAAUAUAUAUACAUGUUCAAUAAUCAUAACACUUUGCAACUUGAUUUAUAGGCAACUUGAAGACUACAAAGAUUAUUUGGCUAAUAAAUCCGCGCCUGAAUGAUGUAUAGCUGAAGCAUAUAUUGUGCACGAGUGCGUCACCUACAUGAAGUUGUAUUUAGGAGCGUUGAAGGAAACUCCGCAAACCAUGCCGGUAGAUGUACCGAAGUUUAAUCUUUCCAUACUCUCUAGUGAUGUUGAAGUUUAUGGAAUUUUGCCAGACUCCUACAAGUUGCAACCACAUGAGCUAGUCAUUGCCCACUGGUGGGUAUUGAUUAACUGUCGAGAAGUUGAAUACUAGAAAGACAUCCAUCUAUAUUGUCCAGACAUUCAAGGUGAUCUUGAGUACCACAACAAAGAGUUCGCAAAUUAUUUUUGCGGCUGGGUACGUAAUUCAAUAUUUAUGUACGUGUUUAUGUUUAUUGCAUAAUAUCCAUAUUUACAAUUGAAUGUUGUAUGCAGAUGAACCAUAUUCAAUUUGAUGGUCACCCAAAUUGGUCGCACGAACUAAGACUUCUAGUGAUGAAGCCGAUAAUGUCAAGAGUUUAUCUGAUGUGCAAGGUGAAUGGCGUGCAAUAUAUACGUGAACAGAGAGACAGCAGACGGAGAACACAGAAUUCUGGGGUGAUGGCGCAUGGUAGGCGGAAUGAAGUUGACUAUUACGGUCUUCUCCAUUCAGUGGUGGAACUCGUUUACAGUGAAGGCAUGACAGUGCACCUCUUCAAGUGUAGAUGGUUUGAUACUAGCCCGCAGAGCAUGAAGACCGAUAAGUACGGAAUAUUAUCGGUGAACACUGCUACAAGUUGUUACGAAGAUGACCCGUUCGUUUUUGCCACAUCGGUAAAACAAGUGUUUUAUCUUGAUGACCUUGCUAAGGGUGACGCGUGGAAAGUCGUCAACCUUGUGCACCCUCGAAACAUUUACCGGGCGGCUACACUUGGAGAGGCCGAAGACGAGGAAGAAGAUGUUGCGUAUCAAGAGCCCAACGCAAUAGGUAUUCCUAACGAGUCUACCUUUCGUCUUAAUAAUUUUAAAACGGGUCGUUCGGUACGAAUUCGUGAUGAAGAGCCAAGGCUUAUUGAUGUUGAUCCAAAUCAAGAAAUAGACGAAGACUCUGGCGAUGAGGAAAUGCAUAGAUUACCAGAAAUUAAUUCUGACACCGAAGAAGACUCAUCGGAUGAUUCCGAUUACGAGCCUUAGUUUUAAUUUAGAGGAUGUAAUACAUUAAUUUGUAAUAAAAAAGAACGUAUUACCUUUAUAGUUUACAUAUGUUGAAUUCAUAUUUCUGUUAUUUUACAUGAAUUUUGGUGAUAUAUGAACAAGAAGUGUUUAUGGCUUAAACCUUCUAUUUUUUUAAUGUAUUUUUUAUACUUUAACUGACGAAAUAUACCAUAAUUCGUCGGCUAAGAUUUGGAUUAGCCGACGGAAUAUACUAUAAUUCGUCGGCUAAGAUUGUUUAACCCGACGAAUUGUGGUAUAUUUCGUCGGCUUAAACCAUCUUAGCCGACGAAAUAUACUAGGGUAUUCGUCGGCUAACCACAUCUUAGCCGACGAAUACCCUAAUAUUUCGUCGGCUAAACCCUAAACCCUAAAAUUUUUAUACGACUUGUUGUGUCUCAUCGGUUUGAAACUAUUUUCAUUUGAAGGUCCGGCCGAAAUACCUAAUUUAGACGGUCCAAUGACCUUUUCCGUGCUUUUAGGGGUUUGACUUAACGGAUUGACCGUCUGAAUCGAUCCCUUAACCUUGUCGGAUCAAGUUGAAUUUUUUUCUAUACAUGUAUUUUAUCAUGAUGGUCAGAUCUGACGGUCGGAUUUUCGUUUAUCAAGUUUCAUCAUCACAAUCACAACAUGCCUACUAAUGUUGUAUAACUUGUUUACCAAGUGUUUAAGUAAAUGUUCCGUUUCAAAAACAAACUAUACGUAGAUCCUUUAAACGCAAAAAAGUCGUGAAAUAAGAUAUGACCAGAAUGGUUAAAUACGUCCACGGUUGAAAAAUCACGGUAUUCCGAUAAAGUCUCGGUGCCGAUAGUUGCGGUCAAUGCAAUUUUCCGUUCUUUCUCCUUAUGGGUAGCCCUAUCAUCCGUGGUUAUUUUUUGUAAAAUUUUUAUACGACUUGUUGCGUCUCAUUGGUUUGAAACUAUUUUCAGUUGAAAGUCCGGCCAAAAUACGUAAUUUAGACGGUCCAAUAACUUUUUCCGUGCGUUUAGGGGUUUGACUUAAUGGAUUAACCAUCCGAAUCAAGCCCUUAACCUUGUCGGAUCAAGUUGAAUUUUUUACCAUACAUGUAUUUUCUCAUGGUGGUCAGAUCUGACGGUCGGAUUUUUGGUUCUCAAGUUUCAUCAUCACAAUCACAAUGUGCCGAAUGUAUGAAAAGUAAUUUAGCCGACGACAUUAUUUAAAACUCAUCGGCUGUAGUUAAUACAAUAAAAUAAAACAGAUAAAUUGAAAAUAUUAAAUAAAAAUUACUAGCCGACGACUUUCAAGGUUAAGCCGACUUUCAAGGUUAGGCCGACGAAUUUCAAGGUUUAGCCGACGAAUUUCAAGGUUAAGCCGACGAAUUUCAAAGGUUUAGCCAACGAAUUUCAAAGGUUUAGCCGACGAAAUUCAAGGGUUAGCCGACGAAUUUGAAAUUUUAGCCGACGAAGUAAUUAUUUUGUCGGCUAAAGUUAUCAGGACCGUAGAGAACCCAGCGAAAACCCUAACGCCUGGUCCGCCUCUCCCUCUCCCUCUCCGUCGCCCUCUCCCUCUCCCGGUCUCCCUCUCCGCAACCCAUCCUUGCCGCCCACCCUCGCCUGGUCCGCCUCGCCGCAGCCCAGCCUCGCCGCCCAACCCAGUCUCGCCGCAGCUGCCACAUUAUUAAGGUCGGAGGUAAAAGUGUUGGUGUGAAUUGGUUUAUGCAUGUGUUUUUGAAAUUACGGUGCUUUUUGACGAUAGGGAAAUUUGUGGUAUUAUGGAAUUUGGGAAUGAUUAAUGCUCAAUUAGGUUGGUAAUGAUUUGGAAUAUUUGAUAUGGUGGAAGGGUAUAGAAUUUGAAUUUCAAGUAUGAAAUCGGAAAAAAAAUAUUACAAUUUGAAGUCAAUUGAUUGACCUAGUCUGCUAGUAUGCUUAUUUAAUUGAAUUGUUGUCUUGUUAAAUAAUGAAUUGCUGGAAAUUUUAAUUGGAAUAGAGUACAAUUUAGUUAGUAUUUUAAACAGCUUUGAUUCAAAUUAAUAUUUUAAAUAGGAUGAGCGGUAAUUUUAGAUCGACGAAGGGUUCAAGGGGCCAAAGGUCCGAAUCGUCUGAGGGAACCUCUAGCAACCCUCAAACGUCGUUUCAGGGCCAUAUGACAGCCAGACAUGUGUCCCUUCUGGAGACGGCGCAGCGGCAGCCACCGAGCGUUUCCCAUUCCUCGAGGCAGCCUUCGGUGCCCAUUUCAUCGAGGCAGCGGGACAUCCCUCAUUUCUUGAGAGAGCUGUGGCCUCAGACCCAGACGGAGGUGUCUGCACCCCGUAUGCUUGAGAUACACCGGCCGCCCACUCCGGAUCCUACUGCUUCGGAUGGUGGGUCAUCUGGGGUACAGAUGCCGCCGCCUCAUAUGUUCCUUCCACGGAUGAUACCGGCGUUACCUGCAAUUGAUGGCUCAGGGACCCCCGCCAGUGGCUCCAUCAGCGACAUAUCGGUUUGUGCCUUUUGAUAUGCCUCUUAUUUCCGCGAGGGUAUCAUCAUCGGCGACAGAGACGGAAUCCGUCGCGUCCGUCGCAUCGCUCUCAGGUAAUAAAAGAUGAAUGAUUUGUUUUCUUGUAAUUAAUAAUAAAGGGUCUCCGAUUUUAAUAAUCAAUUUGGUUUAUCAUGUGAUAGGUACUGUCGGAGCGAAGCCGACAAAGAAGAAGAGAGGUCCCGUCACAGGGAAGGCUCUCGAGAAGACCGUCACUACUUCAGGGAGGAUUGUCAUCAAUACUGACGGAGAUGGCCACAUAGUAUCGGGCGGGAAGUCGAGGACGUACUCCGGCCGCGUGGGAGCGCUCAUUAGGGAUAGAGUCCCUAUGCUGUGGUCAGACUGGGAUGAGGUCCCGCAGGAGGUUAAGGACAUGGUCCACAACCUGAUGUCGGUGAGUUUCAAAAUGCCUCAAUAAUAUUAUGUAUUACAUUGUUGAUUUCUCGAAAAACUAAACUAAUAAACAGUUAAAUACAGGUGUGGUUUGACGUUCUCGAGCACCUGAAAAACAGCUGGGCGGACGUUGUGCAUGGGGGAAGGUACGUUGGGAAGUUAAUGAAAAAACAAAAUUGUAUGUCAUAUUAAUAAUAUUUCUAAUAUUUUUGUUGUAUCUGUAGGUACAAGGAGUGGAAGAACGAGUUGCAGACCCACUGGACUACGCACGGGAACGCACGUUCUGGUAUCCCUGCUGAGUUCCAGUAUAAGGAGUACGAGUGGCGUUGGCUUCUGACAUCAGAAUUCAACAACCCUCGUAAACAGGUAUUUAAAAAAUCAAUUAGUUAAUUUGUCAUUAAGUACGUGCGUUUUUAAAUAUUUUACUAAUAGUUUAUUUUUUUCUUUGAAGGCCGUUUCUCGGGCGAACGCUCAGAACCGGCAACGCAACAUAAAGAACCAUCAUGCCGGUUCUAGACCGUUCGCUGUCUUCAUGGACGAGGCGGCCAGGGAAUAUCCAGAAGUCAACUGGUACGUCUAUACGUAUGAGAAGACAUAUCCUGACUCUCAGGAGGAUAUUGUAAGUCAUCUUACGUUUUUAAAUUUUUAAUUUUACUUAUAUAUAUGUCAAAAUGUUAAUUAAUCAUUUUUUUCCUAUCCAAUUAGGCGAAGGUGAGGGAGGCUAGUGACGAGGUGAUGAGUGAUAUAGUGAGGGAGACAUGGCCGGACACGCAGGAGGAAAAGAUGUUCGAAGCCAUGUCCCUGAUCGACACUUCAGAUCUGAGGGUUGGGGCGAGGAUCAUGGGCACAGCCUUCCCACCGCGAAAAAAUAACUUCUACUGUCGGGGUCUAGGAAAGAAGGGCCAGGGGGUCCUGAAGACCACUCUAGGAUUUCAACGAAAGGCAGCCUCGACCAGCAGCAAGACGACUUAGCUAGAGUCGGAAGUUGAGAGACUACGGGAACAACAAGCCGCUCAGGCUGCCGCUCAUGCCGCCCAGAUCGCCGAACAUAGAGCCUAUACUACCGCGGUACAUGUCGCCCAGCAGGCCCAGCAUCAACAGAUGUUCCAGUACUUCCAAGAGUUUACAGCUGCCCAGCCUCGCCCAGCCUUAGAGACUUCCACCUCCACCUAUGCCUGCGCCUAUACAGUUACCUCAGCUGCCGUAAUCUCCUCAGCAGCAGGCUCCAGAAUCGGAUAUUGAUUUAGACCAUCUAGAUUUUGUGUAGUUGAUACCUUAUAUAGUUUUAUGUGCUUCUUGUUGGUUAUAUAUAUGGAAUUGUUUUGGUGUAUUUUGCAGCUUGCUUGGAAUGGUAAUUUAGAAAUUUCGCGUUUUUUUUAUUGGAUUGGACUUAUAGCCGACGAAACAUGCCACAAUUCAUCCGCUAUAGUAUUUUUAAUUUUUUUCCAUAAGGUUUAGCCGACGAAACAUGCCAUAAUUCGUCGGCUAAACCCUACUAAAGCCGACGAAACAGACUCUAUUUCGUCGGCUAUAGUUCUUUUUUAAUUUUUUAGUUAUAUACUUUAGCCGACGAAUAUCUUUGUUCCGUCACCUAAAGGCUGGGAGUAAAGCCGACGAAUAUCUCUGUUGCGUCGGCUAAAGUCUGGGAGUAUCGUCGGCUUAAUUGUGGAACAAUAGCCGAUAAAAUUUCGUCGGCUUAAUUGUGGAACAAUAGCCGACAAAAUUUCGUCGGCUUAAUACAUGAACAAAAGAGUUCGUCGGCUAAAUACUGGUACAAUAGCCGACGACGGUCUCUAGGUUCGUCGGCUAAAGUCAUCGCCGACGACCCUUUCCCGACGACACUAUAGCCGACGAAUAAAGAUAACAGGCCGACGAAAAUUUUUCGUCGGCUAAAGUGCUUGUCCUGGUAGUGCCGAUCCAAGUUGUACCUAAGCGUUCUGGCAUCACAGUUGUGAAGAAUGAAGAUAAUGAAUUGGUUCCUACACGAGUUCAAACCGGAUGGAGGGUUUGCAUUGAUUAUCGCAAACUCAACACUACUACACGUAAGGACCAUUUUCCCUUGCCUUUUAUUAAUCAAAUGUUAGAAAGACUUGCAGGUCAUGCAUAUUAUUGCUUCUUGGAUGGGUACUCAAGUUAUAACCAGAUACCCAUUCAUCCGGAGGAUCAAGAAAAGACGACAUUCACAUGUCCUUUUGGGACGUUUGCAUACCAAAGAAUGCCAUUUGGCUUAUGCAAUGCCCCUGCAACAUUCCAAAGGUGCAUGAUGAGCAUAUUCUCCGACAUGGUUGAAAAGAUCAUCGAGGUUUUCAUGGAUGACUUCUCCCUUUACGGUGACUCUUUUGACUCUUGCUUAUUUAACUUAUCUUUAGUUCUUAAGAGAUGCCAAGAAUCUAACCUUGUACUUAAUUGGGAAAAAUGGCAUUUUAUGGUACAACAAGGUAUAGUUCUAGGUCAUAUCAUAUCUGCUAAAGGGAUAGAAGUUGAUAAGGCAAAAAUAGAUCUUGUACAUUCUUUACCACCUCCCACAUCUGUGAGGGAGGUACGUUCUUUUCUUGGACAUGCAGGUUUCUAUCGGCGUUUUAUCAAAGACCAUUAUAAGAUCACAAGGCCAUUAUGUCGCCUACUUCAAAAAGAUGUGCCUUUUGUUUUUGAUGAGGAGUGCAUGGUGGCAUUUGAAAAGCUUAAGAAGAUGUUGACUGAGGCACCUGUUAUCAUGCCACCGGAUUGGAAUCUCCCCUUUGAGCUUAUGUGUGAUGCAUCUAACUAUGCAGUUGGAGCAAUUUUGGGGCAAAGAGUUGAAAAGAUCCCUCAUGUCAUCUACUACACGUCAAGGACGCUCAAUGAUGCCCAACUGAACUACUCCACCACAGAAAAAGAACUUUUAGCUGUUGUUUUUGCUUUAGAAAAAUUUCGUUCAUAUCUGUUGGGUACUAAAGUUGUUAUUUAUUCUGAUCAUGUAGCUCUUAGGUACCUACUUACAAAGAAGGAAGCAAAACCUCGGUUAAUUAGGUGGAUCCUCCUCCUACAAGAGUUCGAUUUGGAAAUCAAAGAUAAGAAAGGAUGUGAGAAUGUAGUGGCUAAUCACUUGAGUAGACUUGUGCAUAGUUCAAAAGAGGAAGAAGGCACCUUACCGCUUAAGGAAGCUUUCCCAGACGAGCAACUGUUUGAAGUACAAAAAUUGGGAUCAAAUUUUUCUUCUUCUUCUUUUGAGCCAUGGUUUGCAGACAUCGUCAAUUACAAGGUCACCAAGCUAAUUCCGGAUAAUUUCACUCGAGCUCAAAGGGCAAGUUGAUCAAAACUGCAAGGCAAUAUGUUUGGGAUGAGCCCUACUUGUGGAAGUUUUGUGUGGAUCAAUUGGUAAGAAGGUGUGUUCACGAAUCUGAGUUUCAAUCUAUACUAACCUUUUGCCAUUCUUAUGCUUGUGGUGGUCAUUUUGGAGCCAAAAGGACUGCCUUGAAGGUCCUUGAGUGUGGAUUUUAUUGGCCUACUCUUUUUAAGGAUGCAUACGUAUUUUGCAAAACAUGUGAUAGAUGCCAACGUACAGGUAACUUGGGUCCAAGGGAUCAAAUGGCUCAAACCCCAAUCAUAAGUGUUGAAAUANNNNNNNNNNNNNNNNNNNNNNNNNNNNNNNNNNNNNNNNNNNNNNNNNNNNNNNNNNNNNNNNNNNNNNNNNNNNNNNNNNNNNNNNNNNNNNNNNNNNNNNNNNNNNNNNNNNNNNNNNNNNNNNNNNNNNNNNNNNNNNNNNNNNNNNNGAACUCUAGAUGACUAGAACUCACUCUUGUGGACUUUCGAAACUUUUUAUUCAUAAAACACUCUGAUUUUGGAAAGGAUAAAUAGAACUUUUUAGGAUGAACAUCAUUGCCAGAUUAUCAUGUGUCCUUAUUUGUGUGCGCGGCACACCCCUUAGUUAAACCCCUUUGAGCCUACGUUAAGCAUUUUCUUUCAUCACCCAUGGAAUACAUACCUUGAGUUUAGUGUAGUGAUAUCUCUACCUUUGUCCUUUGAGCCUAGUAGAGCAUGAUGUUGUGAUGUAUUGUAUGGAAUGAUGAUGAGAAACAAGUGUGGGGGAAGGUGACUUGUCCAAAAGAAAAGAAAAAUGCCACAAAAAUAAAAAAUAAAGAAAGAAAAAUCAAAAGAAAUGGCAGAAAAUUUUUUUUUGGACCAAGUCCCUUGUUUGUGAAUUUGGAUUUUGUGUAUGUUUGAAGGCCCAAAAACUGAAUAUAUGGCCUUUGUUCUUUUUCACAAUGUUGUAAGGAGGUUGGAAUGACGAUGGGCCCAAGAUGAUGAUAUUUGGCUCUUGCUUUGGCGACAUAAGACGUGUUUUAAUGCUCUGCUAGGUCCUUAGGAAAAAUUCCUUACCCUUCUAAUCAUACCCUUAGCCUAGCCUCAGUAUUACCUUGUAAAGUUCAUUUUGAUCUAAAAGAUGAGUAAAACUUGAUCUGUGGAGUUUGUUCCAAGAGUUGAGCCUAUGGUGUGGUUCAUUUGUGUGAGUAAUUGAUUCAUUCAUGAGGUUUAUUUAUGUUGCCAUGUGCUUUUUGUUCAUAUAAGUAUGCAAACUACUUUCUCUUGCAUACAUUUGAGAGACUGAGCCAGAAAAUCUUGAGUGAAAAGAAAUUGAGUGCAUCUUUGUGAGGAAUUGAGUUGGUACUUAUUGACCCAUGAAUUCGAAAGGCAUAUACUUGCUGUAUUGGUUUAAUCAUCCUUGCAUAAUGAUUUGAGCAUCAUGGUUGUUAAAAUAAAUUAACUUUUAAGUGAAAUUGAGAGUUUUGAUACAUGAUAGCUUGAAUUUUUGUUGACCAGUGUAGGCGUUAUAAGUUCUCUGAGAUGUUUGGAAGACAUUAGGUUUGUGUCAUUUGUCUAGUUAGUCUUUGUGUUUGCUAGGGACUAGCAAAGCUUAAGUGUGGGGGUCUUUGAUAAGAGCAUAAAUAUGCGACGAUAUGAUGGUUAAUUCCCCUCUUUACUUUAUUAGUUUAUCGUAUUUUCCAUUUGAUUUAGUUAUUUUUAUGUUUAUUAGGUGUUUCGGAGCAAAGAAAGGAAUAUGAAGCAAAAGAGGAGAAAUCUUGAAGGAUUAGGAAUUCAUGUCGUGCAAGGAAAGAAUUAUGAGAUUUGCCAGAAAUUAUCAUCUAACUUCGACAGAUGAUUGUGAUCAGCUCACAAUGAUCCAGACAAUGAGUUAUUAUCAAUAGAAAGCUACAAGAGUUUACUUUCUAGAACUUUUUACGGAUCGUCAAUACCUAUUUUGGAGAAGAAGUUAUGAUCAUUUUAGUGGCCGAAGGUCAGUCUGCCCGAAUUUCUGAUUUGGACCGUAACUUCAAUUUCAAGGCCCAAUCCAAAUCAGCUGGCCCAUGGACGGAAAUUGAGGGUUCUCUAACCUAAUAUCAUCUGAUACACUAGAGGAAACGAAGGAGAAGAAGAAGUCGAGAAGAAAAGAACACAAGAAUCGGACGGAACAAGAUUGAUCUCUUCUCAAGGAUUCUCCAAGCUCGGUUAUUGUUGUCUUCCCCUUCCAUAUGAACUCUUUUGUGUUUUUAAUUUUCAUUAUGUGCAACUAAACUCAUAGUAGCUAGGGGGCUGAUGAAGCCCCUAGACAUGAUUCAUAACAUGCUUUGAUUUUCAAUUUGUUUUUGCAAUUAAUAAGAUUGAGGUUUUGUUUACCUAUUGUUCAUCGAUGAAUUCUUUGUGUGUGUGCUUUGGAGGCCUACUUAGUAUACAUGCUAGGGUUCUAAUACUUUGAUUAUUUGAUGCCUGGGUCAAUAUCGGAUCCCUCAAAUUGUCUAGAGAAGUAAUCGGUAGUUUUCACUAAUGAGUAGACGAAACCCUAGUUUUAGCAAGGCGCUAAGUUUAUUGCGAUGCCUAGUGAUUGCUCAAACUCUUUUCAUGCUUAUUGAUCUCUGCUUGUUUAACCUAAUAAACAUACCUUUAGGUUACAAUGUUUGAGAAUAGUUUAGGUGUAGAGCACUUCCUGCCUAACGUACAAAGUACGAAAGAGUAAUAGAUUGUGCUCAAGCGUACUGAGUCAAUCUGAGCAUCUUCAAUUGAGUUAGUUGGUCACAAAUUGGACAAAGUGUGUUGUGUGUGAUUGUUAGGGGUGGAUACUUUCUCCCUAGCUAGUCUCAUUAUCAUGAUUUUCAACUACUUUGAAAUCAGUUUUCAGUUUUCUUAUCUUCUGUUUGUCAUAUUCCCGUAUUUUAUUUCCCUAUCAAAUCAACUCCGAUUUAUCUCAAAUUUUGGUGCUAGACGCUCUGUGUAUCUAGUACACCUCUGUAAAUUUUCAUGUUUUUCUGAGCAUUCUAGGUUAGGUUUUACUUUUAUUUUUCGACUGUUGUUCAAUAGGAGCUGCAGUCACGUUUUGUGACUUUUGUUGAAGCUUUUAGUUUAACUUAAUCCUCUGCGGGAGACCCUUAUUUCUCUAUAUUACAAUCGACAAAUUUACAGGAGAAUAAGGAAAAUAAAUAGCUUUUAAUUUAGCUGACCCUAAACCCUAAACCCACCCCUGGAACGCUCGCCACCUCCACCUCUACCCUGUUUAACUUAAAAAAGCCAAAAAACCCAACAGGGCAGCUAGCGCUUCAUCAGUUGUGUACUUUAGCCCAUUAGCGGCCUAAGUAAAAUGUACAACUUGCCCAUUAGCGGCCUAUCCUAAAUGAAAAUGCUAUUUGUGUUCAUCUUUUUAAGCAUACCGUGCCAAGAACACGGACAACAUCACAACAGAGGAAAAAGAACAACAUUCUUUAACGAAAACAAGUAUCAACCUGGACUCCCAGACAAUCUAUAAAUAACUGGCUAACCACGCCAUCAAUAUUGUUUCAACAGCAAACAAAAAUUGAAAACUAACAAAACAACCAAGUACAUCAAAAUAAUCAUUUCUCCCCGGAAGACGUGCCACUGGACUUAUUCACACUCCCACCACUCUUUGACCCACUACCUCGUCCGCGGGACUGGCUGAUGUUCACAGAAACCCUCUGCCCAUAAGUAUGCUUCGCGAGGUCACGCGACCUUGGUAGCGGCCUCAUAGAAACGUUAGGACGCACCAAGGAGCUCAUUUGUUGCACUCCAGUAGCAGUGGGCUUGCUCGCUGGAACCUUUGGCACUUCAGCACGGGGGGCGGGGGGGUGACAUAAGUCCAGAGGCUCGAGGGGGUGGAGGUUCAACAACAGACGACGCCAUCUGCGACGCUACAACUUGAAUGGCCGGGGACCCUUCAGGACGAGGAGACUUCAUAGAAGGACCUUCCUUUGGUACGGCAGAAGAGGUAGCACGCCAGGCCUUGUGCUACUUAGCCAGGGAUUGCGAGAUCUCGACUUGCUUUCUCUGCUCUGGCGUCAUCAGCUCCCAGGCCUUCUUCGCGACAUCCCUUUCAGCAUAGAACUUGCGCAUAGCAGCUUCGUUAAUCCAGCCAGCUUGGCACCCAGUCUUGCUAAGCUCAUCUUGCCCCUGAUUAUAAGCACUCUUCAGCUGCUGAUACAUGUCACUCUCCCAGAACACCCUCUCCCCAGCCCCGGUAGCCCUGGCGCACUUCAGCUUCCACACCCUCUCCUGCUCCGCCAAGACGUGGUUCAGUCUCGCCACCUCCGCCUCCAGAGAAGCAACCUUAGCAGCAGCCACCUCCCCACCUUCCACCUGCUUAUCCUUCUCCUGCAUAACUUCCUUCAGCACUGCCACCUCCUUCCCAACGGUAGUGGCCUGGUCCCGAAAGACAGCCGCGUCUUGUUCCACCUGCUCCAAACACUGUGAGAGGGCACGAUUAUUCUCCUCUGCCUCCUUUAGUUGCUGGCACUUGGCCUCAGCAUCCCCCUGCAAGUGGGUAAUAGCCCUCUCACUUGCAGCAUACAUCAGUAGCGUCGCCUACAGAUAAGAACCAAAACAUAAGCAAAAGGCCAAGAACCGAUUAAGGAUAAAUCGACAAGUAUGCAUCUUUACCCGGGUCAACUUCUCCUUAGCGAGAGCCAUGCUAGCUAAGGGCUCAACCUCCUCUAGGGCAUUCAUGUCGGGAGACCGGUGACGCAUGUCAUACGCCAUUUGCGCCAAGUAAGGCUGCACCUCCCCGAUCCUCUCCAGUGCAUGGGUGAUCUCGGCCAGACUCCUAGAACUCCUGGAACGCCCUUCCUUCCGGGAUCGUUUUGCCUGGCCGUCACGCGACGAUUCCACCAUUUCCUUCCUCUUCCGAGUCUUUGUCACAACGACCUCCUCGGAUUCCUGCCUAAGAGAUUCCACCUCUUCUGUCACGAGAUCUUUGUCACCAGUUUGGGGUUCCCCAACAUUUCCCACAAGUGCAUCUUCCAUCCCAACUGGCUCCGAGACAUGCUCUUCCCCCACUGGAACUUGCUCCUGGUCGCCCUCAGGGUCACCACCCUCCAUCUCGACAGCUUCAUCAUCUACCUCUUGGUCGCCUAAACCCAUGGCCUCGGCCACCAAGGGAGGCACAUAGGCAUAGUCUUCAUAUGCCAGGUUCAGCCUCAAGAAGUCAUCCUCACAUUCUACCAGCUCCACCUCCUUCCCUUCCCCAGUCUCUAGAUCAAUGUCAAACCGUUUGGCAUGAGUAGCCUUGGUAAGCAACCCAUCCAGCACAUCCUCAUCAGAGACCUUGUCAUAAGGCCCUUCUUUCUUCCGCGACCCACCGUCCCGAGGCAUCGUCGCUACACCAAACAAAAGAUCAGUCAAGAACAGCCCAGCAAACAUAAAAAAUAAAAUAAAUAAAAAUAAAAACAUUCAAUAACAAUACAGACCCGGGACUCGGGCAUAGCCGAAAUGACUAUAUACGCCAAGCCGGCAUAUCCGGUAUGAACUCCUACACUCGAAUGCCCACAGCACCCGGCAUAUCCGACGCUCCAUCAGCUCAGUUAACUUACACUCUUGGGGCACUACACAAAGUUAGCAGUCAGUAGUCAAUAGGAGCAGCACAGUACAAACAGUAAGAAAACACGAGACACAAAACACGGUACCUAUUUAUUGAAAGGCCCUGGGUACUCGGAAGGGAUGUCUGUGCCACUCCUGCCACUGCCCCCCAACAAGGAAGCACUUCUGCCGCCAACCCUCGUUCGUAGAGGUGGGCAAGCCUUCCACCAAAAUCUUGAACUUGCCCCGGGACUUCAAUGUCACGCAACCCCGGCUGCCUUUCUUCGCGCAGUACGCCAUAUCCAACAGGCGUUGAACUCCUCAAAAUUUGAGAACUCUUGUCCCAAUAAACGAAACAAUACCCCCGUCCCCAAAAUUUGCCUUAACAUAUUCGGGGUGACUUGCCCCAGGGCGACAUGCAGACACGCUAAGGUGUACUGCACAAAGGGGGGUAGCGGGAACAUCAGCUCGCACUUUAACUGGUACUCGUACACCAGGGUGAAGUUGUCCGAAGGGUCCCAAAAGUUAACUCCCUUGCCAAGAGGCCGCAACAAGACCUCCUUGGGGAUACUCCAAUUUUGCCUCAGAGCCUUUAGCUCUGCCGACGUCAUACUCUCGCUGGGAGGAUCCCAGAACGAAUCGUCAUCCUCCCGAGAUCUCGCCAUGUUAAACUCUUCUACCUCCUGCAAUAGAGGGUCAGACGAGGACACGUGAGACCCUUCAUCCGUAACAGGAAUGCCCUCCCCUAAGUCAAGUGCAACUUCCGCCAUGAGAUAAUUCAUCUCUUCUUCCCACCGGUGCCAGGUGUCCGAAUCAGGAUCAGUCGAGCUAGAGACAACCACGAUCUCCUCGCUGGACACCCGUAUUAGAUCUGUCAUACCCUACAUCCCCACAUGGUUAGACUCUCGCUACCUUAACCCUAGCUAGCUAACUCGACAGCAAACUAUUCAAUCCCUUACACUAGACUCCCUUAAGCAAAGUCACAACUGAGGCGAAAUCCACAACCACUAUCCCUAUCAAUUCGGAAUAAAGCAAAAACAAAACCCAGAACAGGAAUUGACAAGUUCAUACCUUGGAAAAUUGGAUUUGUGUAGUGGUAGUGAAGCUGGUUGCAAACAGCAGAGCGCUUGCACGCAAUCGAUCGAGGAUGAAAUUGGACGUUCCCUAAAUUUCGAUUCACAGUUUGUCACAAGCCCCUCUUCAAAAACCGAACAACCCACUCUCCAGCCCUAAUCUCUCUGUUUUCAAAACGCAAACUCCCUCCUCUAUUUCCACAAAGCCUAUUUAUAGAGCAUUCAAGUUGACCUCGACCAUUCAGAUCCCUACUAAUCCCAACGGUCAAGGAACAGCCACGUCGACCACGAUCGAACAAGCCAUUUAAGACGUGCCCCACGAUCUAACCCACGCGCGUCAAUUACACGCCAAUCAAAAAAAAAACCGAACUGUUACGUCCUUAAAAACCGCUAUAAAUGACCACGUGCUCCUCAUAAACUGGCCAUUUAUGACACACGUGAGAUAUAACGCAAAUGAUCAUAUCGAGUUCUCGGAACUCAACCCCAGCCACCUCGCGUGGGGACUUGGGGACUCGGCACCAUGCCUCCAACUCCCAGGUAAAACACAUUCUCGACACAACUUGGGAAUAACUCCCCACCCAAGAGCUCUCUCGGACUGGGGACUUGGGGACUUAUUAAUACAUAGCCAAAAUACUUGGCCAUGCCGAGAAUGUAACGUCAUUACCCGGUCACCGGAGAUCAUUCCGGCCUAUGCGCCGCCAGCAAGGCCUCCAUAGGCACACAAACAGUGGAGACACAACAACAAUACACUACCAGAAGAAGGCUUUAGCCAACGAAAAUAAAAAAACCAGGCCGACGAAAUUUUCCUUCGUCGGCUAAUUUAAAAUUUUCUUCGGCUACGGUCAACUUUAGCCGACGAAAUAAUUUUUUCGUCGGCUAUAGUCUGUGAACUUUAGCCGACGAAAUUUUGAAAAGUUUAGCCGACGAAAAAUAUAAUUUCGUCGGCUAAAGUGCCUUAUAUUUGCAGAUCUGGACAACAACUCAUCUGGGAAAAAAAAACUAUACGUAGAACCUCAAACGCAAAAAAGUCGUGAAAUAAGAUAUGACCAGAAUGGUGAAAUACGUCUACGAUUGAAAAAUCACGGUAUUUCGGUAAAUUCUCGGUGCCGAUAGUUGCGGUCAAUGCAAUUUACCCUUAUUAUUCACUAUGCUGCAGAUUUGGCGUUUGGUGUCCGAUUGACUAUUGUGAUACCUUUCCGGAAGCGUAAUGGCCCUACGAGUCAAAAAUAAUUGCUAGUGCUAUGANNNNNNNNNNNNNNNNNNNNNNNNNNNNNNNNNNNNNNNNNNNNNNNNNNNNNNNNNNNNNNNNNNNNNNNNNNNNNNNNNNNNNNNNNNNNNNNNNNNNNNNNNNNNNNNNNNNNNNNNNNNNNNNNNNNNNNNNNNNNNNNNNNNNNNNNNNNNNNNNNNNNNNNNNNNNNNNNNNNNNNNNNNNNNNNNNNNNNNNNNNNNNNNNNNNNNNNNNNNNNNNNNNNNNNNNNNNNNNNNNNNNNNNNNNNNNNNNNNNNNNNNNNNNNNNNNNNNNNNNNNNNNNNNNNNNNNNNNNNNNNNNNNNNNNNNNNNNNNNNNNNNNNNNNNNNNNNNNNNNNNNNNNNNNNNNNNNNNNNNNNNNNNNNNNNNNNNNNNNNNNNNNNNNNNNNNNNNNNNNNNNNNNNNNNNNNNNNNNNNNNNNNNNNNNNNNNNNNNNNNNNNNNNNNNNNNNNNNNNNNNNNNNNNNNNNNNNNNNNNNNNNNNNNNNNNNNNNNNNNNNNNNNNNNNNNNNNNNNNNNNNNNNNNNNNNNNNNNNNNNNNNNNNNNNNNNNNNNNNNNNNNNNNNNNNNNNNNNNNNNNNNNNNNNNNNNNNNNNNNNNNNNNNNNNNNNNNNNNNNNNNNNNNNNNNNNNNNNNNNNNNNNNNNNNNNNNNNNNNNNNNNNNNNNNNNNNNNNNNNNNNNNNNNNNNNNNNNNUGUGGGAUAUUACAAUCCACCCCCCUUAGGAGUCCGACGCCCUCGUCGGCACACUCGCACCACACGGCAGAGUGGCUCUGAUACCAUUUGUCACAUCCCGGGACCCGCUCCGCCGUAACACGAUAUUGUCCGCUUUGGGCCCAUCGGCCCUCACGGUUUUGUUUCCGGCAGCUCAGGAGCAGCUUCCCAGUAGGUCACCCAUCCUGGGAUUGCUCUAGCAUCAACAUGCUUAACCUCGGAGUACCCAUCCCCUCCGAAGACGCUGAGCCACCAAAAGGCCUCGUGUUAGGUUGGUGGUGGGCAUGUACAUAUACAGCACAUAACCCCUCUCCGUUUGGCCGAUGUGGGAUAUUACAACUAUUUACCGUUAUUAUUCCCUAUGGGGAGCCCUAUCGUCGGAAGGUAAAUGUCUCAAAAAAUUUAUAUGGGAAGUUGCGUCUCAUCUACGUGAGAGUUUUUUGUGUGGAAGGUUUGACCAAACUACGUAAUAUAGAGGGAGAUAUGAGCAUUUUCGUGUAAUAAGUGACGAUAGAUUAUGGUUGACCGUUUCGAUCAAGCCCUUAACGUUGUCGGAUCCAGUUGAAUUUUUUACCAUAGACAUCUUUUGUCAUAAUGAUCAUAUCUGACGGUCGAAUUUUGGUGUGUGAAUUUUAGUCAUCGGAAUCACAACGUGUCUACUAAUGUUGUAUAACUUGUUUAGUAGGUUAUACAAGUUUGUAAACUAACUCUAUAUAGGAAGCAAAAUUAUCAAAAACCUCGUGAAAUAAGAUGUGUUCAGAAUGGUGAAAUACGGCUAUGGUUCAAAAAUCACAUAAAUCGGGUAAAGUCUCGGUGCCGAUAGUAGCGGUCAACCCUAUUUACCGUUAUUAUUCCCUAUGGGGAGCCCUAUCGUCGGAAGGUAAAUGUCUCAAAAAUUUUAUAUAGGUGAUUGCGUCUCAUCUACGUGAAAGUUUUUCGUGUGGAAGGUUUGACCAAACUACGUAAUAUAGAGAGAGAUAUGAGCGUUUUCGUGAAUUUCUAGACUUUAGCCGACGAGAUAUUAAAAAAGUCGUCGGCUAAGGUCAAAAUUUUUUGGGCGGUAAACCAAAUUUGGAGGAAAAUUUUUAAAAUUUUCAACCAAAAUUUUUUGGCGGUCAACCAAAAGUUUCAAAAUUUUCAAAAGAGUUUAGCCGACGAAAAUAAAGAAUUUUGUCGGCUAAAGUUCUUUAUAUAGGAGUUUUACCGAAGGUGGAUGGUAAGAAGUCUAUUUCGCCUGCCAGAUUUUCUUCUCGGCCUAGCUCCGCCGUCAAGCCACCGAAGACCGCCACACUUGUCCCAAAAGUUUCGUCGUUGUCUCUACUUCAUUGUUGGACAGGUGGUGCAUCGAGUGGCGCCGCCGUGAGGGAUAAAUCGAGCUCUAAAACUCCGCCGGUUCGGAUUCGGUGUCGAUUGAAUUUCUCCUUCCUCAUGUCACCAUUUGGUGAGUUCUAUAUAUGGAUAAGUUGAGUUUGAUUAGUACUAUAUUCCCCUAGAAUUUGGUAGCUCGAUUCGGUGUGUGUGAGGAGAAUCGAAGAUUUGAAGUUUUUAGGGUUUAAAAUUGGGGAUUUUUAUAUUUUGAUUCAAUUGACAUGUUUAGGCUUAGAAUUGGCCUUCGACUUCUUAUAGAAAGUUGUUCAAAAUGUUGAGAGGAAGAUUCUAUCAAAUUUUGGUGGUGAUUGAAGGUGGCCGAAAGUUUCAGCAGUUUUUUUUUUUCAAAAACCAGCAACUUUAGCCGACGAUAUUUAAAUAUUAUAUUCGUCGGCUAUAGUAUUUUUUAAUUUUUUAUAAGGUUUAGCCGACGAAAUAUGGCAUGUUUCGUCGGCUAUAGUUAUUUUUUUAAAUUUUUUUAUUAGGUUUAGCCGACGAAAUAGACUAUAUUUCGUCGGUUAUAGUUAUUUUUUUAAUUUUUUUUAUAAGGUUUAGCCGACGAAUAUCUUAAUUGUUUCGUUGGCUAAAGUCUGGGAAAAAAACUGACGACAUGUUUUUCGUCGGCUAAACUGUGGGACUAUAGCCGACAACGUCUUCUUUUUCGUCGGCUAAAGUCAUCGCCGACGACCUUUUCCUGACGAAAUCUUAGCCGACGAUCCAUCGUCGGCUAAGAUCUUAGCCGACGAAUUAAGCUAACAGGCUGACGAAAUUUUUUCGUCGGCUAAAGUGCUUGUCCUGGUAGUGAUACACAUGCCAAACUCAUUCUGCAACAGCUAAACUCCUCCGAAAGGAGGGAGAUUGAACAAUGCCAUAAAACAGUCCUACAUCGGGAACUAACGGUAAAACCCCCAAUGCUAGCCUAUAAAACAGGCACAGAUCCCCAAAUAAGGUAAGUUCAUAACUCCUCCUAUACUCCCGUACUAUACAAGUAGCAACUCAACGCUAACUUAAGCAUCGGAGAGUCGAAGACUGGGCCACCCCAGUCCCGACUCCUGACGUAUUGUUACUUGUGCAACCCCAGGACCCGGAGCCAAGGAUUUGACCUCCCGUCCCGUGAUCUCGGGAGAGGUAGAAACACAUACAUACAUACAUUGGAGGGGAUAAGUUAAAUAAUAAGGAUUACUUUCAUGCAAUUAAGUCAACAGAAAAGGAAAUGAAUGAUAUAUCUCUCCGGGGACCAAGUUAAUUAAGCCGAUUGAGACACGACCAGAAAGUCCUCCAUAACCCAAUGUCCUAGUUAAGAGAGAUAUAUCAUGGACCUUUGAAACCAUUAAACGAAAAUGAAAUGUUAUGACAGUACAUUGUGGUGGUGUAUUGUAAAGAUCCUAGAGGGUUUAGGAUUUGAAUCCUCUUACUCAUUGUGUACGUAGUCUACAGUAUAAUUCAAAUUUUAUUAGUUAUAUAUGAUUUGUAAGUAGAAGAAGACUUCAGAAGAUGUUUGAGACAUUUCUAUAGAAAGGUGAACUUUUUGUCCCUCUGAGGCUCUCAUACCGUUCUCUGUAACUGAGCUGAUCCUUGCCUAACAAUAAGGGAAAGCUGAUCGUGAAUUCUCUUUUAUUUUUUGUUCCUCAGAGGUUUCUUAUUAGUCAUAACAGGAGAAGAUUAUUUCCUCGUGCUCACUCAGUACUGUUAAGCAAUCAGAUUGUCAUUUGUUUAUUUUAGAUAGUUAGAAGUUUAGUUCAUUUGUAGGAGUUCACACACAGAUUAUCUAGGAGUACCCCAAAAACAUAAACAUGUAUACAUGAUUGCUAGUCAUAACAGUUUAUAGGAAUAGAAUUGAAUUGUCAUGCAGUACAUCUAGUGGCUAGUGUAGUAAAACAGGGCUUGUAUUUAACAUUAUACAACAACAACAGCAGUGAAUUACAUAAGUUUUCCCUCUUAAUAUUUCUUUUAUUCAUAUUCACUGUUUGGCUAUAGUUUGAUGGUACUAUGGAGCGCUUAUUACCGGAUGUCCUGCAAUGAUCCCUGCAAAGUAAACAAAAUGGACAAGGUACGUAUAUAUGAUAUUAGUUUAGUGAAUGAAACACUGUCACCACUCUAGUUUAACCCCUAAAAUUGAGAAUGGGUUCAACCAAAUAGUUACUGAUACACUUUCUGGAAAAGAUAAUGAAACUGCACCAGUAUAUAUCAACUGAAUUGUUGUGGGCUAGAUAGGAAGAGAGAAAAACAAAUACCUCCGACGGGGGUGCUGCCGGGUCCUAUAUAAAGGGAGACCAAACCGUUGUGAUUACACUCAUUGGUAAUUGUUGGAGAGGAAAGAUCCCACAUCAAAAAAGGGACAAAUAAAAUACAACUUAUAAGUGGAUGGAUCAUAUCCAAUUGUACCGAGGCCUUUUGUAAUUAAAACCCAACACCUUAAAGGUGGUUAAGUUGGGACAAUAUCGGUACAAUGUGAUCCACGGGCCACGCUUGUCCCUGUUCUAGUUGGUAUCAGAGCGGGUCCCUCUUCAAUUACGUCUCCUAGCGUAACGGGAGAAAAUCUCCCAGCAUAAUGAGCCCAGAUUUGGGUUCAUCGAAUUGCCAUCAGAAAAAUUCCGAUUGCCCCAUACCAUACCAAGUGCCUGCAGUGGGCCUUGGACUGAAGCAUAACCGAUUUCCGAUGUGGGAAUUGGACUGAAUGAAUUCCACGUGCAGACCUAAAAAUUAGGUUGCACGUGAGGGGGAGUGUUGGAGAGGAAAGAUCCCACAUCAAAAAAGGGACAAAUAAAAUACAACUUAUAAGUGGAUGGAUCAUAUCCAAUUGUACCGAGGCCUUUUGUAAUUAAAACCCAACACCUUAAAGGUGGUUAAGUUGAGACAAUAUCGGUACAAUGUGAUCCACGGGCCACGCUUGUCCCUGUUCUAGUGUAAUGCCCAUCUGACGAGGGUGACAAUGAAUAGAAAUCCGGUUUGAGGGAGAAGAUGACAGACCAGUUGAGCUGUGUUGAGGUUGGUUGGAUGCAUAGGCAUGAAGAAUGUUAUUAGUAGAUAGAAAGGAACAGAAGAAGAUCAGGAAGAGAAAGAUUCUGCCCUGAGCCAUUGCCAUAUCUUCGUUAAAGAAUGUUAUGAUUUCUCACCUAGUAUUGCAGGC
rnacentral:lncRNA from 1 species